rnacentral:lncRNA from 1 species
GCUUGUUGACUGAUUCAGGCAGAGUUCUAAUAUUAGUUCCAGACAGGUUAAGGUACCUUCAAUACCUCAAAUCACCAACUGAAUCUGGUAGCUCGGAGAUGUGAUAUCCACGCAAAGAGAAGACCCUCAAGCGUUGGAGUUUGAGCAACUUAGGAAGAAUGCUAGGAGCCAAGUAGCCAGGCGAACUCUCUGUCAACAUUACUGGUAAAAAAGUUCUCAAAUGUUGGAUAUCAUACAAGUCCCCAAACCUUUUACCGCCAACAUAAUAUUCAGGAAUAUAUGACAGAUGACGAAGAUAUCGGGAAAAACUUUGUUGCUUGUUAACCUCAGAGGUAUACUCCAUUGUGAAGUAUAUUUCCCCUGCAGCCCAAUGCGCAAGGUCGUUGAUAAGAUCGUGCAUCACAAAUCGUGAUGCAUCGUUGCUUGAUUGCUGGAAAAAGGAUCUUGAAUGUAGCUCCUUAAAGAUUUCAAGACCUAAAUCUUCACCAGUUUUCUCACGCUCUUUGCGAUCCAAGAAGCCCGAGGCACACCAUAACAAAAUUAUCUCCCCCUCUUCAAAUUCAUAAUCCUUUGGAAACAAUGAGCAAUACGCAAAGCAUUGUUUCAAAGGUGCCGAAAGAUAAUAGUAGCUCACUCUAAGCGCCGGCAUAAUGUCACAUCUCUCUUCUUGCAAUUCCCAUAUCUUGGUACUGAGCACUCUCUCCCAAUCACAUCUGUCAUCUUUUCCUCGCAAAAGUCCUCCAAGUGUUUGCGCUGCCAAGGGCAAGCCAUCGCAUUUGGCCACUAUCUUCUUGCCAAUUUCCUCCAAUAAGUUAUCUGACCCCAAAGAAUGUUGAGCAAAUACAGCUAGACAAUCAUCAAUUGACAACUUUUUUAAUUGAUAAGCUGAGGCAGUUCCCAUGAUGUCUGCAACCUCUUGAUUACGAGUUGUGACAAUAAUCUUACUUCCCUUCGCUCCAGCUUCAAACGGACGGCUGAGGCGAACCCAAUCAUUGUAAUUCUCAUUCCAAACGUCGUCUAAAACAAGCAAAAAUUUCUUUUGAGAUAACUUCUUCUUCAGCUCCUCUUGAAGCAAAUUUAAAUCACUGUCAUCAAUAGUCUGCUUGGUAACGGAUCUUAGAAUUGUUUUUGUUAGCCCCUUAACGUCGAAAUCCUCAGAGACACAAGUCCAUGCCUUGAGAUCAAAAUGAUCCCGCACUUGCUUAUCAUUGUAGACAAGCUGAGCAAGAGUAGUUUUGCCCAGCCCGCCCAUACCUAUAAUAGGAAUAACUGCGAAUCCACCAUCGUUGCUUAAAUCAUCCCUCAACAGCAGUUCAACAACAUCCUUCUUUUCUGUUUCCCUGCCAUAUACUUUGGCUUCAGUCACUAAAGAGGUUGUCUCUAGCCUUUGACUGGCUUUUUUGGACCCUCCAGCUGAACUUUCUUUCAAAUCUAGCAAGUUUUUCUGUGUCACAAUUUCUUGAAAUCUGCUGUUGAUCUCUUUGAUUUUGGACAUCAAGCCAUAAUCGAACUGAAUCGAUUGUGGAGUAAAAGUGGUGCAGCAAGUAGGAAUGAGCUUCCGAAACUUACUUGUUCUUGUACGACUGCUACUGGGUUGAUCAUGAGCAGCAGCUGGUUCUCCAUUCCCAAGCAGCAACCUCCUCCGGAAAGCCUCAGUUUGAAACUCAUCCAACAAGUCUUCAACAUCGUAAGCCAAGUUCUGAAGCUUGCCAAGCCACUUCUUCACAAACUGAUUAGUCGUCUUCUUCUCCUCAGCAUCAUCAAGCACCGCCUUGAUCAUCUCCAACAUAUUCUCCCACUUCAUUAGAUCGUCUUGGAUCUUCUCUUGGCGUGCAAAAAACAGAAUCCCCUCUGAAGCUAACUUAUUGACCAGCAAAUCAACGGACGCCGUAAGGAUUGCCUCUCCGAUGAUCGACAUUUUUUUUUCUUUUUUUGGGCAAAGGAAGAAAGGAGCAGAAUUAUGGGUUAUGGAAAGCAGAAUGAGAAUAUUGAACGGGUGAGAAAAUGGAUAAUUAAGCGGAAUGAGUUUGUGAUUGUGAAGGGUCUGGUUCAGCAAGCUUAGUAGAAAUCACGCGUUUGUACUUUAUUGACCAAUGACUAAAUAAUUUGGCAAUGCACCCACCACCACCAGUUGGCGAGCAAAAUGAAAAAGUUUAAUAAGUGCAGGGGUCGAGCAAAAUACGACGUAAAAUGUGGCAAGUCUCCCCACUUGUUGUUCCUUGCAGCUAAGAAAAGAAAAAACAGAGCCCACCACCCAUUAAUAAUUUAGCAAUUCACCAAUCAUCACAAAAUUCCAUUAGAUAUUCGUCGAUCAAGUAGUUAAGUAUUUUUGCUAGAAUGAAUGCAACCAAGAUUCUAUGGGAUAUGUAUGAAGAUGAUGUAAUAAAGUGCUUUUGAUAUAUUCCCCUAGUCGGUUUACUUCACUAACCAUUAACGAGCAAAUCCUCCCAAUGACCCUCAAUACUCUUGUGCACAAUUAAAAUAAUUUCAAUUAUAUAUAUAUAUAAAUAAAAAAACUCUCAAAUAUAUUAUUUGAUAAUCACCAAAAAAAAAAAAAUUCACCCCAAUAAAUCACAUUACAGUCUAUGUUGCAAGUGUUUUUAGGACUAAUUCAAAGAGAAAAUGCGAAGGACAUGUAAUUGAAUUUGGGACACUGAAUAUAUUCCCAAUUACCCUUUAGUGUAAAUAGUUCCACUUCAGAUAUAUAUAAUGAUGAUGAAAUUUUGUUUUCUCAUAGCAAUCAUUCUAGUGUUUUACAAUGAGUAAUUGAUUCAAUAUUAACACAACACUAUUUUAACAUGUGACAUAUUCUAUCAUAGUGUGCUUCAACUCAGACUUCUAAGUUUCCAUUUUAGAACAAGUUAAAACAGUUCCAACUCAAAAUCAGUAGUGCGCAAUUGGGUUGUUAUAAAUAUUUCUAAAUUUUAGUCUAAUUUGAAUUAUUUAAUUGUGUUUGUACAAACUAGCUUUAUCACUUCUUUUAUAUUGAUACCCUUAAAUUUCAACCUUAUUUUAUGUUGAUGCACAAUCUAACUUAACAAAAAUAAUAUUCAAAUUGUCACAAUUUUUUUUUUUAAAAAAAAUAUACAAAGUUAAUUUUUCUUCUUCUUUACUCUAGGAUCCAGCUCCAUACCCCUCUUUUUUGUCGUUAUGCUACUCAGCCGUUAGAUUUUAAUUACGUUAAUCUAAUGGUUGGGAUUUGCAAAUGAAUAAUGAAGUGGUGUUCGGCUACUAUCCGAGGCCAUUGCAUCUAAUUGGUUUUGUGAUUUUUCACUUUCUUCCCUGUAACACUUGACUAGUUCUGGAAAUUGCUUUUUGGCAUGCUAAUUGUUGUGAAAAUUUUAAUAUACUCGCAAGCGCACGAAUCUAGAAAUAAAAUAGUGGUAACGAGGUCGAUCCCACAGGGAUUGGCACCCAUCACGCCUUUAGUUGUCGUGAAUAAAUCGAAAAUCAAAUUGAACUGGUUUUUACCGGGUAGCAACAAUCGUGACGUUUUGAGAUUAUAAUAUAUGACAACACUGAUUAGUGUUGUCUCCCAUGUGAAUUGAGACAAAAAUGAUUUUCCCAAUUGCGCUUUCAUUUGAACAAUUCCACUGUAGAUUUAUAAAAUAAUCACGAAAUUGUGUUUUAUAAUAAGUUACGAGUAAUUGGUUCAAUAUUAAUACAAAACUACUUUAAGUAACACGUGGCAUAUUCUAAUUCUAGCAAAGUUUCCAACUAAGAUUCCCAAAUCAAAAGAAUUUCAAUCUCCAGAACAUUCUACAAAAUGUUUCUUCUAGCCUCUACGUUGUGCUAGAAUUUUCUCUUGAGUUUUUUAGCAAAGACUUCUAAAGAACUAUCCAGAUAUCGAGCUAUAAUCCAGUCAAAGUGUAUAUAUUUCUCUAAUUCACCUCCCUCCAUUUCACCAGAAAACCAACAAACACUUAGCUUCAAACAAACACUUUCAAAUAGCUAGCUAGCUACCCAGAUGGCAAAAUCAAGAAUUCUUGCAAUGACAAUGUUGUUUCUUGUUGUGGCGGCAACAUUGAUGAACAUGGCAUCACAAGCAAAUGCUCUGAUGCCGUACACACGAUCACCUUUCUUUGACAUGAUGUUCCGAAUGACGAAAGAGCCUUUCAGGGUUCUUGAACAAACCCCUUUAACAAUCGCAAAAGGAGCUGAUCAUCAUCAAACUCUAGCCCUGGCGAGAGCAGACUAGAAGGAGAGUGGAUGGAGCCUUUACUUUCUAUUAUAUUUGUAAAGCGUGCCACAACACACGUGAUCACACUCGACAUUCUCGGAAUUAAGAAAGAUGAUGUGAAGAUUGAAGUUGAAUAGAACAGGGUAUUGAGAGUAAGUGGGCAGAGGAAGGCUGAUGAUUAUUAUAAGGAGAGGGUUGAAGGAGAGAAAUGGCACAGAGCUAAGAGAGCAUUUGGCAAGUUUUGGAGGCAGUUUAGGAUGCCAAUGAGUGCUUGACUUGGAUCAUAUUAAGGCUCACUGAGUGCCAAAGCUUGCUGAGGAGAUGAAGAGGCAGCCGAAGGCUAUUAACAUUGAUGAAGAGUCUGGUAAUUCUUCCAAUGAAGAUAUUAAGGCUACCAAGGCUCAAAUGUAAUUGAUUAAAGAAAGAAGUGAUUGCUUUGCUUGAUGUGCUAUUUGUUUAUGAUCUUUUUUUGGUUUUGUUGUGAGAUGUUUCUCUAUGGACGCUUUGUUUAAUGUAUUUUGAUGGGUUUUUUAGGAUGGCUUGUAUGUAUUGACAACAAUAAAGUGCUUUUUAUAAAUCCUAGUCCUACAACACUAAAAGAAAUUAAUACUCUUGGUUUAUAAUUAAUAAAAAUAUAUAUUUUUUUUAAAAGUCUUUUUCUUUGGCAUAUAGUAUGCGUUUUGAGGGGAAAAAAAUUUAUCCCACUCCUAAUUCGUCCUCUUCUGUGAUAUUAAUGUGUUAACACGAAGAUUCAUUGUAAUUGCAACAAUUUUGACGAAUCCAAACGUUCAAUAACUGUUAAAUUGUAUUUAUAAAUACUAAUAGCGAAGGUACAGAAACGAUUAAUUCAAGAAGUUGCUUAAAGUGCAUUAAAUUAGGGAGUAUAAAUAAUUGUGUGAUACAGUCCAGCCUUCAUCUGCUUAUAAUUAGCAACCAAAAACCACUUUGCAACACCAUUAAAAAAACAUUUUAACAUUAUUGCUGAGGGAAGAGGCAACUUAGGCUUAUUAACUCGUAUUAUUAAUGCUGAUGACGCAGCUGGUAAUCCUUUUGGUGAAUAUAUUAAGGCAGCUGAAGCUUAAAAUUAAUUAAGCCCACUAAAGCUUAAAACUAAUUCUUCUAGUGACGAUGCUUUGCUUAGUUCGCUUUUUGUUUUUAAUUUUUUUGGGGCUAACGUUUUGCUUAUUUUGCUUUUAAAAUUCUAUUGGCGUUGCUGUGGAAUAUUGUUUCUCCUUCGAUUUUCUGUUUUUGUUGUUAUCGGAUUUGAUGAUGGUUUAUAUGUACGAAGAUUAUGUAAUAAAGUGCUUUUGUAACAAUAUAUAUAUAUAUAUAUAUAUAGAUGUUUCAACAGCUAAGAAAGAGAUAGCCAUUAUACAUUACACAUUUGUACUCAAUAAGAAAUCAAUUCAUUAAUAUAGCCAUUAAUACGCCUGGUUUAUUGUUAAUGAAAAUUAAAAAAGAAAAAAAAAUCUUUUUCUUUGGCCUUUAGUAUGCAUUUUAAGAGGAAAAAAAAUUUAUCCCACUUCAAUUCAUGAAGAUAUUUUCAUUUCUGUCAUAUUGAUGUGUUAAUAUGAAGAUCCAUUGCAGUUGGUGAAUUCAAAUAUUCAGUAACUGAUGAAAUUAUAUUUAUAAAUUCAUACUAAUAACGAUUGAAGAUUAUAAUUAAUUUUUUAAUAUGGUCCAGCCCUCGUGUGUUUAAUUAGCUCUCAAAAACCACUAAGGUAAAGGCAAAAUCAUGAUAAAUUGUGGUCGGUUUAAUUUACUUGAUCAAUUGAUAUUGGGUAGCAUUGUUCUUAUACAAACACAAUAAAAGAAGAACACUAACGUACUAAUUAAUUACAAAUAAGAACAUUAACAAUUUUGCCGAAGUCUGAUGAAGAGAAAUAUUACACAUAUGUAACCGUACAACUAAAUAAAAGAAACUGAAGUUUAUUUCAACAGCUAAGAAUGAGAUACGCAUAAGAAAUUAAUCUAUUAAUUAAUUAAUUAAUUCAUACAAUUUUCAACUGAGAUUUGAAUUUUAAAAUUACAUACACAAACACACCUGAUUUAAAAGAAAAAAAUUUUAAUAAUAAAAUAUUUUACGUAUGUAACCAUACCGCGGAAAGAACAAAUGUAAGAAACUGAAGUUUCAACAGUUGAGAAUGAGAUAGGCAUAAGAAAUUAAUUAAUUAAUUAAUAGAGUCCUCCUCCUUUGCUAAAUAAUGCGAGCCCAUUGUUCCUUUUAUUUCGAAAACCCAUUAAUCAUCAACACAUACACGCCCAAUUUUAAAAAAAAAAAAUAAUAAUAAUAAAAUAUUUAAGUCGUCCUCUGUUCAAUAAUCAAAAACCCAUUUAAAAUCUAUUUUAACUUUAGGUAUAUGGGUUAACAAGUCCCAAUAUUGUCCUCCAUCUUUUCUGCACUUCUCUGCUAUCAACGGACAUCCCCCGAUGUAUAAUUGCAAAAGUGAGGAAGGCAGGCCCUUCUCCGGAAAGUAUUUGAGCUUGGGACAAUCCUCGAGUUCCAAGUGAGUGAGGUUUUGAAGAUCAACAAUUGAAGAAGAUAGGCGUUCCAGAUUUGGAAAAUUACCAAUCAUCAGGGAUGCUAGACAGGCAGGAAGAGGAAGCGUGGUCCUCAAUCUUAUGUCCUCCGGUGGGAAUGACACCAUGUCGUCAUCGCAUCCGCUGAUUGUAAGUUGUCGCAGAGAGGAGAAUCUGUGGAAUCCCCGACCCCACUCAAUCGUUGACUUCCAAAUCUUCUUAUUAUCAAUAAUCUCCAGCCUAUGAAGGUUGGUGGGAAGGCCAUCAUCUUCUUCAAGGCUUGGAAGCUCACCUCCUUCUCCUAUUGUUAAUUGUUGAAGAGAGGUCAGAUUGUGCAAUCCCUUGGGUAAGACCUGUAGUCUCUUACAAUAAGAUAUCUCUAGCCUCGUGAGUUUCGCACAAGGCAAUCCCCCUUGGGGAAAGGACACCAGAUUUUCACAUUCCCAUAUCCCUAUCUCUUGAAGCUGGCGGAGAUUAUGUAAACCACUCGGUAAAAUUUUCAGAUUUUCACACUCAGAAAUACUGAUUGUUUCAAGAGAUGUGUUGUUGUCCAACCUUUCUGCUAUUGACUCCAGCUCUGAACAACUCCAAACAUCAAGGGACUUAAGAGACGGAGGUAGAUUGCCAACUUCAAGGGACUCAAGCGUGGCAGGUAACUCGUUUUUUGAAAAUAUACACGUCAGUGACGGACACCUGCUAAUAUGCAAGCCCUCGAGAAGAGAUGAGGUGUACCUUCUGCUGCUGCUGCUGCUCUGGAUGCCCUCUUCCACCGUCAAAGUCCUUAUAUUAUCGCAAUGGCGGAUCUCCAACCACUUAAGGCUCGGUGGUAGUUGGACUCCAGCAAUAUAUGUCAACGAAUUGCAAAUCCAAAUCUCCAAGAUCUCGAGAGAUGAAUUGGUGUCGCACAUCCAUGCCUCUGGUAACGAUUUCAGUGCAUCACAUUCUCUAAUCUCAAUUUUCUUCAACUUGGAAGGCAGAGCAACCUCAGGAAAGGAAACAAGGGAACUGCAGCCGUAGAUUUCUAUCUCUCUCAAGGAGCUGAGGCUGAGAGGUGAUUGUGGCAGCUUCACAAGGUCUUGGCAAUCUCUCAAAUCUAUAUAUUCGAGUAUGCACGACAACUGGCAGAGCUGCUGUUGUUGGUCUUUCUCUUCCUCCGCCACCAAGGAUUGAAGUUUGGGACAACUUGUAAUCGUCAGUCUUUUGAGAGAGCAAAUGUCUUGCAGCAAUUCGUUAUGACUCUUCCAUAUAUAUGUCUGCUCUUUCAUAUCAUUUAUCUCCAAUUCUUCCAAUUUUGGUAUUCGCGGCUUCAAUGGCCCUGCGAGAAACACUUGAUUUGAUGUAUCUCUACAAACUACUGAAUUCUGCGAUCCGAGAUGACCAGUUGCACUUUCCCACACAAUCUUUUUGCAUCCACCAAUUAUGAAUUUGCAAAGAGAUGGAAGACUCGAAACUGAAACUAACAAUUCUUCACAUCCUUCAAUAACAAGCAUCUCCAAUGCAGGAAGGUGCUCUGGAAAUGUUCCUUUCAGUUUAGAACAUCUUAAAAUGUGAAGCUCUCUCAAUUUAGGAAACCGUUCAACUCCCUGACUGAAUCCAUGAGGAAUCCAGUCUUCCCAUCCUUGCAUGUCUUCAAAAUGAAGCGUCUCCAAGCAUGGAAAAGGAAUUGGAGUAUCAUUCCCAUAGAACUCUGAACCCAACCUCUUUACACUAGUCAUUCCACAUACUGCAAGAUGCUUUAGAGAGGGUAGUUGGCCGACUGACGGCAGGGUAGGACACAUGCCACAAUAUUCAAAUUUUAAGGUCACCAACUUUAAGAAUGAGGAAUCUCCGAACCAAGUUGGAAAUUUUGCGCCUCCAUAGCCGCUGAUACAAAAUUGUUCCAGAUUUUUAUGGGGUUCUAGCAUGUCAAGCACGUCCUUUUCAGUUUCCGCCUCCCUUGAAGACGAGCCAUCGGUACUGUUUGUCCACCGAAGCAUUAACACUUUAAGGUUCUUCUUUCCAUCCAAUUGAGCCUCCUUUGCAUCACCAACGUCUUUUACGUUCUCCAAUUUUGAAAUGCAAAGUGUCCCACGAAGGUGCGUCAACAACUUUAGCUCUCGUAACCCGGAACCACUGUCUUUUCCUACAACAAAAUUACACAACGUCUGAAGACAAGUCAACUUGCCAAUUCCUAGUGGCAUUUCCUCCAACGACUUCGUAUUUGAAUUCUUAAGAUGAUGCAAUUUGGCGAGGUUUCCCAUGUCUGCACACAACUUCUUCAGCCGAUCACAAUCUUCCAACAAAAGACUAUGCAAAUUGUAAAGCUUGUUGACUGAUUCAGGCAGAGUUCUAAUCUCAGUUCCAGACAGGUUAAGGUACCUUAAAUACCUCAAAGCACCAAUUGAAUCCGGCAGCUCAGGGAUGCGGUAUCCACGCAAAGAGAAGACCCUCAAGCGUUGGAGUUUGAGCAACUUAGGAAGAAUGCUAGGAGCCAAGUAUCCAGACAGUGAGCUAUUUGACAGCAUUACGGGUAAAAAUGUUCGCAAAUGUUGGAUAUCGUACAAGUCCUCAAACCUUUUAACACCAUCGUAAUCUCCACGAAUAUACGACAGAUGACGAAGAUUUCUUGAAAAACUUUGUUGCUUGUCAACCUCUGAGAUAUACUCCAUUCUGAAGUACAUUUCCCCAGCAGCCCAUUGAGCAAGGUCAUUGACGAGGUCGUGCAUCACAAAUCGUGAUAUACUGUUGCUUGAUUGCUGGAAAAAAGAUCUUGCACGUAGUUCUCGAAAGAACUUUCGACCUAGAUCUUCACUAGGAUUCCCGCUCUCUCCGUGAUCCAAGAGACCCACAGCACACCAUAAUAAAAUUAUCUCCUCCUCUUCAAAUUCAUAAUCCUUUGGAAACAAUGAGCAGUAUGCAAAGCAUUGUUUCAAAGGUGCCGAAAGAUAAUAGUAGCUCACUCUAAGCGCAGGUAUAAUGUCACAUCUCUCUUCUGGUAAAUCCCAUAUCUUGCAACUGAGCACAUCUUCCCAAUCACUUCGGUCACGUUUACCACGUAAGAGUCCACCAAGAGUUUUCGCAGCUAAGGGCAAGCCGUUGCAUUUGAUCACUAUAUUCUUGCCAAUGUCCUCCAAUGACUUAUGUGAACUGAAAUCUGUUGUCCCCAAAGAGUGCUGAGCGAACACAGACAGACAGUCCUCAGUUGACAAGCUUUUGAGUUCAUAAGCUUGAUCCAGGCUCAUGAUUUUGGCAACCUCUUCAUUGCGAGUGGUGACAACAAUCUUACUUCCCUGUGCGCCAGCUUGAAAUGAAAGGCUGAGGUGAACCCAAUCAGUGUAAUUCUCAUUCCAAACGUCAUCUAAAACAAGCAAAAAUUUCUUUCCAAAUAGUUGUUUCUUUAGCUCCUCUUGAAGCUUAUUCAAGUCGUGAUUAUCCACAUUCUGGCCAGGAGCAAUGGAAAUUAGGAUUGAUUUUGUAAGCCUGCUAACAUCAAAAUCAUCGGAGACGCAAGUCCAUGCCUUGAGAUUAAAAUGAUCCUCCACCUGCUUAUCAUUGUAGACAAGCUGAGCAAGAGUGGUUUUACCCAGCCCGCCCAUACCUAUAAUAGGAAUAACAGAGAAUCCACCAUCCUUUCUUGAAUCAUCCUUCAACAACAAUUCAACAAUUUCCUUCUUUUCUGUUUCCCUGCCAUAUACUUUGGCUUCCUCCACCAAAGAGGUUGUCUCUUGCCUUUGCCUGGCUUUUUUGGAUCCCCCAGCUGAACUUUUUAUCAAAUUCAGCGAGCCUAUUCUUUCUUCAAUAUCUUGAAAUCUAUCGUUGAUUUCUUUGAUUUUGGACAUCAUGGCGUAAUCGAACUGAAUCGAUUGUGGAGUAAAAGUGGUGCAGCAAGUAGGAAUGAGCUUCCGAAACUUACUUUUCGUGCUUGUACGACUGCUGCUGGGUUGAUCAUGAGCAGCAGCUGGUUCUCCAUUUCCAAGCAGCAACUUCCUCCGGAAAGCCUCAGUUUGGAACUCAUCCAACAAGUCUUCAACGUCAUAAGCCAAGUUCUGAAGCUCGCCAAGCCACAACUUCACAGAAUCAUCAGUCGUCUUCUUCUGCUCAGCAUCAUCAAGCACCGCCUUGAUCGUCACCAACUUCUUCUUCCACUUCACUAGAUCGUCUUUGAUUCGACCUUGGCGUUCAAAUAAACGAAGCCCCUCCGAAGAUAACUUAUUGACCAGCAUCUCAACGGACGCCUUCAGGAUUGCCUCUCCGAUGAUCGACAUAUAUUUUUUUUUUUUUGGGACAAAGAAUGAAACCAGAUUAUGAGCUUGUGGAAAGCAGAAUGAGAAAAGUGAAUAAGCAGCGUGAGUUUGUGAUUGUGUCUAGCAAGCCUAGAAAUCAAGAAAAACCCACCGUAAAAGUGAAAAGUAAAACGGAGCCAACCACAAAUAUAAAAUCAGAGGAUCACAGAAAUUAAAAAAAAAAAUCAAACACGUAAUGAUUUGUAAAGUUAUUAGCGAUUUGUAAAAAUCAAACAUGCGUCUUCUUCCUCUGAGUGUUUUUUUUUUUUUUUAACUUUAUUAAUUAAUUAGUGAAGUAAAUUUGUAAAGAUCACGGGCAUCAAAUUAUUGGGAGGUAUUAAUUGCGCUUAGUAUUUACAAUUUUUUGUAAAACUUUUUAAUUUCGUUGAAAAUGUAUCGUUAUUAAGUUAUUAUUGAUUUCACUCUCUUUUACUUUUUGACGUUGCGAAAAAGACAGUAAAAAACUUGCUAAAUGUCAUCAAAUACUUGUAUCUCAUCUCACAAAUUAGCAAUAUUUGUUUGGUAUUUCAUCUCAACGGGACGAAGGAACGAUAGAAAACGCGUUCCCUCAUCAAAAUUUUCUUUCGUGAGACCGAUAAUAAAUAAUAAAAUAUUCUUUUAUGGGAUCGAUUAUAAAUAGUAAAUUAAAGAAGGGUCGACAGAAAACGCGUUCCCUCAUCUAAUUUUUCUUUUGUGGGACCGAUAACAAAUAAUACAAUAUUCUUUUGUGGGACCGACUACAAGUACUAACAUAAAGAAUAAAAAAAUGAAAAAAAGGAUAGUGAAAUAACUCAACGGAGAAGUCUAUAAAUGCUUUUGUUUGGUAGCUGGCUAAAGCAGAAUCUGUAAGUUGCAGAGUCAAGUUACACUUAGCCUGCUCCAUAACUCUAAUGUGAAACAAAAAAAGUCCUGCCACCAAUAAUUCAGCAAGCUUCACUUUAUUACACGAAGGUGAAAGCAAAAAGCCAAAAACAGCCCCCACCACCAUCAAUAAUUUAGCAAGCUUCACGCGCUUGUGCUUGUCUUGUCUGCUUGACGAACUGGACAUGGGUGGACCAAGCAUCCAUUGAAUAACUGGAAAAAGUAAAAAAUAAAAAACAGUGUCCCGCAAAAAGAAUCCAUCUUUAUGUGUUGAUAUGCACAUCUACCGAACAUCUACAAAAUGGAAGUAGAAAUUGAAACUUACGUUUUUUAGUUAUGGCUCAUAUAUAAUACAAGUAUCAAUAUUUAAGUAGAAUAGAGUUCACAUAUACACAUGCGUCUAGUUUUAAGUUUUAACCGAGAGAUAAAUUAAUCAUUAAUACUCAGGUGUUUCUAAAUAAUUGAAUAAUGAUAUUAUACGAACCUUCCCUUUACAAGUCUUCAAACUCAUAAACCAAGUUAAAAUAAAAUUAAAAAAAACGUUUCUCUCUCUCUCUCCUUUUGCUAUAUGAUUACUUUAUUUAUUGAAUUAAUUUCCAUGCUAUAUCAAAGACUUAAAAGUACACUAUAAUUUUUUAUAAUCAUAAUGGUAAUUUCUAUCAUCAUAUUAAAUUAUUGUCGUGUCAAAAUAAAUUAUAACAAAAUUUUAGCUGAACAUAAGUUCGACUCAUUUAUUAAAUAUAUAUACUUAAUAAAAUAAUAAGACGAUUAAUAUGUUAUCAGUGAUAUAGACCCAACUGAAAUAACUCUAAUGUGAAAACAAAAAAAAUCCCGCCACCGAUAAUUGAGCAAAUUAACUUCACUUUAUUACACGAAAGUGGAAGCAAAAGCCAGAGGCAGUCCCCACCACCAUCGAUAAUUGUGCUUGUCUUGUCUGCUUGACGAACUGGACAUGGGGGGGGGGGGGGGGGGGGGGGGACCAACCAUCCAUUGAAUAACUGGAAAAAGUAGAAAAUAAAAAAAUCAGUGUCCAGCAAAAAGAAUCUACCUUUAGGUGUUGCUUCCUAUUCAGUACAUGCAUAGAUAAUGUACAUCGACCUGGAAUUAAAAAAAUGGAAGUAGAAAUUAAAACUUACUUUUUUAGAUAUGGCUCAUAUAUAUUACAAGUAUCAAGAUUUGAUUAGAGUUCACAUAUUUACAAUGUGCCUAGUUUUAAUUGAGAGACAAACUAAUCAUUAAUAAUCAGGUUUUUCUAAAUGAUUAAAUAAUGAUAUUAAUUAUUGAUAUUUAAAAAAUUUGUAAGAAGUAUAACUAAUAUGUUGGGAUAUGUAUUUGUGUAGAAUGGCAAAUAUAAAGAAUAGCAAUAAAAAUAGUGGAACUUUAAUAUGAUGAAAAAAGGUAAACUGUAGAAAAUUAAUAUAUAAUUCAAGGUACGUUACAAAUAUCACUUUCCUUCAGACAUUAUUUACCCCACCAAUUGAGUGAAUGCACAUGAGUUAAGCAAAUAUGUCUCUAGGAUAUAAUGAAACGCUUCUUUGUUUGCUUGUAUUGUGCAUCGACAAAAGUAAAUCUGAAUAUUCCUUAAUGUUGCAAGCUUGCCACGAAUUAAUAUAUUGUUAUUGUAAAAAAAUAAAAAAAAUAAUGUAUUGGAUAUUUGAUGCAUAAAAGAAAUAGAUAUUAUUAGAUGAAAUUCAUUUUGAGAAAUAGGGCUACAAAAAGAGUGGUGUAAUGUCGUUUUAUUAAUGUCUAAAUGGCAUAAAUAUGACAUCUAUUUACAAAUAUAUUUAUGCUCUUUUAUUUAAGUUAUCGUCUUUAGUAAUGCCCUUGAUUCAUAUCCAUUAGAUCAAGCAACCUAAUCCCCACUAAAACUAACUUAUUGAACAGUAACUCAACGGAUGCUGUAAAGAUUGCUCUUGGAUGAUUGACAUUUUUUUUAAAAAAAAUUUGGGCAAAGAAAGAAACUGAAUUAUGAGUUUAUGGAAAUUAAAGCAAAUGAGAAAGUGAAUUAGCACAAUGAGUUUGUGAUUGCGAAGGAACCAGCAAAUCAAAAAACAAUUAAGCAAGAGAAAAGGACAAUGAACACUUUAAUAUUCUAGAAAAGGGAUAUGAAACCUCUAAACAUUUUAAAAAAGAUAUAUAAUCUCCUUUUUAUUAGUAAAAUCUGUUUAUUUCAGUAGUAACAUAAUCUUUAAUUUACAUUUACUAUCAUGUCCCUAUAAUAAAUAAAUUAAUAUAUUUAAUUUAAAAGAGUGAGCCCUCCAAUUUUACUUCCCAUUUGCUCAAUUGCCUUUCAUUCAUAUACAAGCAUGUUUAACAUCUCAUUUUGCCUAAUUUGCCUUGGAAGAAAAUAAAUUUGAUUUUAUUUUUAUCUAUUAUUCAUCAUUUUUUAUCAUCUUAACAUUGGGAAGGAUAUAUUCAUAAUUUAAAGUGAAUAAUUUGGAUAAAAGAUAAUUAUAUCUUAAUUUUAAGUUUUAAAUAAAAAGUUGUUGGUUUUAUUAUACAUGUCAUUGAUGACAUGUCUUAAAUUAAUAUAUUUAUUUAUUUAUUAUCGGGAUAUAAUAAUAAUUAUAAAUUAAAAAUAAAUUUAUUAUUAAAAUAAAUGGAAUUUAUUAACAAAAAUAGGAAUUAUAUAUCUUUUUUAAAAUAUUAAAACAUUAUUUUUUUUUAGGGUAUCACUAUCCAUUUCCCAUUAAGCAAAACAAAAGUGAAAAGAAAAAUCAGAGCCCACUAUAAAUAUAAAAUUAGUGGAGCUCAUGAUGAUGCAUUUGCUUUACAUACUAAAUUAAAUAAAAGCCGAACCAAGAAUCUUUGCCUUAGCUUAACAUGAUUAAUUAGGCACUACUUCAUAGAAAACGCGAAAGCAAUGAACCCUUUUUUUAAUCUUAAAUGUCAUGAAUAUAAUUCUUCUGCGUUAAUUAAUCAUUCUUCUCUGACCGUCUCUUCAGGUUCAUUUCAAAAGUUUGAAGAUAGUUUAUCAAUUCUUCUACUUAUAAAAGCAAGUUAAAUUAAAAGAUUUUAAUCUCUCUUCUUAUUACUAUAAGUGCACUGUGCACGACAUUUUUUUACAAUAAACAAUGCCAAUUUGUAAUGUAAUGUUAUAUUCAUAUUCCCAUCGCGUCGAACUCUUUUUUUCCCUCUUUUUUAAAAGGAGACGGUGCGGUUUGGUUGUUCGCAAAAUUAGUGGUGUGGGGCUCUAUUUGCUUUUGUUUUCACUUUAUUAAUUAACUAGCGAAGCAAACAUGUAAUCAUUUGUAAAGGAGUCACUAGCACCGGAUUAUGUAAGAUGAAUUCGUAAGACUUAUUAAUUUCAAUUGAAAAUGUAGCGUUAUUAGGUUAUUAAUUCACUAAGUUAACUUGAGGUUCUAAUAUUUACUAAUUGUGGUGAUUAAUUUAUUUAACUUGUCAUAAUUUUCAUUUGAGAAUGAAAUUCAAUCAAUGUAUGAAAAAAGAUAAUUUUUUAAAAUUUUUAAUUCCUAUGAUUUGAUUUCACUUUUUUCCGGAUAUUGACGCUGUAAAAGCUUGCCCAAUGUCAUCAAAUGCUUGUAUCCCAUCUCACAAAUUAGCAAAUAUCAUUUGGUUUCUUUAUACGUGGCCAUCACAAAUUAAAAGUAACAACAUCCACCAUAUAUCGAAAAUUAAUUUUGAGAAUACUUUUGACUUUUAAAAGAAAAAUGCGAGUACAAUUUAAUAAGAGAGAACAAGAAUUGAUCAUGUCCCAAGAGACUGAAAAUAAGAUUAUAUAAACUUGAAUGCAGGCAUAUCAUAUGUUAAUCUUAAUUUUUUUUUGUUGCUGAAAAUUAAUUAAUUUGUUCCACUAUUCCUUUUUUAAUUGUAUGGUGAGAAACACAUUGGCCACUUCUGAAUCAUGUUGCAUAUUUGUUAACUCAAAGAAACAGUACACUUUUGUAUCAAUCAAACUCACUUUGUUAAUAUUCUUCAUUAUUAUGGUUAAUGGCUUAGCAAAUGUAGAAGGAGGAGUCAACCAAAAUGUAGCACUUUCUCUUGUAUUAACCUUUUAUUAAUUGUUGAAGUUAAAAAAAAUGUUAAAACAAGUUAAAAUAGUUCCAUCUCAAAAUCAGUAGGGUGUAAGUAGGUUGUUAUAAAUAUUUUUAAAUUUUAGUCUAAUUUAAUUGUGUGAUGCACAAACUUUCUCACUUCUUUCAUAUAAAUAAAGGGGAGAACUAUUUGAACUCAUUAAAUCACUUUUUAAAUUCCUCUACUUAUUAAGGCCAUCAUAAAAAUUCAAAAAUCCUUUUUAUACUCACUACAUCUCUUAAAAAUAUCGCAAAUAUGACACAUUUGUCUUCACCUUCUAUUUAUCUUCAACAUUCACAAUUUUUAUUUGAAUCUGUAAUAUGUUUAACACUGUUCAUUCACUCAUUAGAGUUCCAAUAAUAGAAUAUAGAGAUUAAAAAUAUCAUUAGCAAAUUAUUUGUUUGUGUUCUAUAUGAUAUUCUUGGUUUGGAAAAAGCUUCAUCGGCAAUAUAUGUAAAUAAAAGACUAAGAACUUCCAAUAAUUCAGAUUUGAUCGAAACUUCACAAACUUAUUUUCACUUAAAAAAAUAAAAUAAAGUAAAAGAAAUUCUCGUGUUUUAAAAGAAAAACUGCCAGACAUGUUUCUAAAACAACUAGAAACCAAACUAGGCUUGAAGCAGUGAGUUUUGAAUUAUAAAAAAUACAUAAUUGUAAUUUCACCUAAAUCAAAUGAUGAAUUUCAUGACAACGGAUUUAGACUAUAGACCAAUACACAAAGAAUUGGAUGUUCAUCGCAUUUGUUCUUGAAAUUGUUUUGCGCAAAAAAGUUAACUAUUGUAUUAUGUUGUAUUGCAUUAUUUUAAUAUAAGUGUAUUAUAUUAUGCUGUAUUGCAUUAACACUGUAUUAUAUUAAUACUAUACAACGUUUGGUUCUACAUUGUACUAUAUUAAUUUUUAAUUAUACAUACACUAUAUUAUGCUAUACUAUAUUAUUUUUUUGGUGGUUAAUUUCAAUUAUAUGUUUGGAAAUAAUAUUUAUUAGUACUUAGCAAAAUAUAAAAUAUAGAACCUUAAAUUUUAGAAUAUUUACAUCAAUUUUUUUUAGUAUAAAUGUAAAUAAUUAUAAUAAUUCUUCAUUAAACUUAUGUAAAAAUAACAAAUUCUGAAUUUUUGCUAUCGUAACAUUUUUUUUUUAACGGCGUUUUUCAAAUGUAUACCUUAUUGAUGAUGCACCAUAAAAAUAAAUAUCAAAUUUUGCGAUCAUGAUCAAGUCGAGUUUUACAUUAUGAAAGCAUGACACAAAAAUUGAAAAAAAUAAUGGCCGGCAAAAAGUUAUACAAGCAACAACAAAAGUGCUAAUUACUCGGAAAAUAAACAAUCAAGAGCCGCUGAUAGAUAUGAGUCAUAUGACAAGGUAGAGGAAUACAGAUAUCUGCAUACAUUUUUAACAAAGAUCAUCUUUGUAACCAAUUGUUGGCUUUGGCAUUAAAAGAUCAUCUUUGUAACCAACUGGGUAGCUAUAAAAUGAAUACUAAGUCAAUCAAACGGGAAAGCUUGCUACAAGACUUUGAAGCAUUAUUCUGUUGCAUCACCUUCCUCCUCUGCCUCACUUCCUGCAUCCCAAAUUAAAGAACAACAAAUAUUAAAUAACAAAAACAAAAUCUUCAAUAGACUUUUCAUACUCCAUGGAGCAAAUCUAUGGGAAUCCACAAAAUAAUUGAAAUAUAUCAAUGCUGCAGGUCAUAGUAACAAAUUACAGAUACACAAUCAUGCAUAUGCAACUAAAAAAUGCUUAUUUAUUACAGCCGCUUUUUGGCAUGACUACUUCAUAAGUUAUAUAUGAUAGAUAACAUUAUUAUUCUAAUCACAUGGUUAUGAUUUUAGUUGGACAUACAAAAGCUACGUGCAUGAAUCUGUAUCAUGCCACCUUUCAUGAGUCAAAAAUUUAAAUCAAAUCAAUUUGGUUGAGCCUUCAAAUUCCUAUUCCAGUCAAAGGAGAUGAUUUUUCCAAAGGUAAAGAAUGAGUCCGGUUACUUAAGCAUGUCAACCUUUUUUCUAGGCUAAGGUUUAUCCCUUUCCAUUUCACUAACUCUCCUCUCACUACCUUGCGUCAACAUUUGCAUACUUGAUAUACUUUCACAACCUUAAUCUAAUACUUUCAUUUAUGCUGAUAUAAAGAAGAAGUUUGAUUUAAAUCUGGACAGGUAACAAGAUUAAAAAACUGCCUUGUAGUAGAGCCAAUUCUUCCAACAAACAUUUCUUGAACCAAUAUCUAAGAUUAAGCUGGAUCACGUAAGACAAAUAUGCCAAGAAGAUUUUUAACUCACCUGACACUAUGGAUCUCCAAAUGUACUCAAUUAGCUUAGGUAAGCCAUACUUCUUCUCAAUUAUGAGCCCAGUAAAUAGGACCCGAAAAACUUGCAUUCCUCUGCUGACAUUCAUUUCAGUGUUGCAAGAAUUACAGAUUCCAUGACCAUGGACUGAAGUUCUUUUGUUAAGACAGGCGCAAGAGAGUACGCCCCUAUCCCACUAGUAUUUGGCCCGGUGUCACCAUCACCAACUUGUUUAUGGUCCUGACAAGACAUUAGAGGUAUGGGCGUAUGGCAUUCUCCCCAUCCACGAAGUCCUUUAGAACCAAAAGCAUUGUUUACAAGCAUCGAAUCAACAACUUCUAUGAAUCAUCCAAUGUCAUAGUUAGAGCUGGUAAAAUUUGACACGAUCCAAUUAUUCGACACGAACACGACACUAAUAAAUGGGUAUGGGUCGUCAAAUUUAACACGAUUAUUAAAUCGGUCGGGUCCGGGUCAACACGAUUUUUUUCCGUGUCGGGUUAGGGUUAAAAUUCUUGACCCAUUUACCCGAUCAAUGACUCGAUUAUAUUUUUUAUUUUAAAAUAAUUUAUAGAUUCUUGUCAUCAAAACUUAAAUAUUAGAGAAUUUUUUUUUAUUCUUUAAAAAGAUGAAUAUAGACACAAUAUUUUAUUUAUAAAAUUUUAAAUAUAUUUAGAGCUUUAAUAAUGUAAAUGUAUAAAAUAUUGGUAGAUACGUAUAUUUUAUAAUAUUGAUAUAUAAUAUUAUUUACAUAUAUAUAAUUAAAACCUCAAUAAUGUGUGUAAUAUUUUAGUAGAUAUGAAAAUUUUAUAAUACUGAUAAAUUAUGUAUGUAUGGAUGGAUGUUGAGACAAGCUAGAGAAGCCAUGAAUGAGAUUUUUCCUUUGACUCCUGCUAUGUGGCAAGAAUUUGCGAGAGAUGAAGCCUCUAUUUCAACCGGGUAUCUGUCAUUUCCUUUUUACAGUGGUUUUUGAUUUUGUGAACAAAUACUUUUUUUUUCGCUUAGAGAUAUAGAUGUUUAUGUUAGUUAUUUGCUAAUGUAAAAAGGAACAAAAACUGCUUAAAAGGUAUUAAAGAAAGAAAAAAGGAACCAAUUUGAAGAAGGGGAUACUCAUAGCGGGAGUUCUGCUUUGGGGUUUAAUUGAUGGGAAGAAGAAAUAGUUUAUAUGUUUACAGAAUUAAACAAUUGAUCACUGAGUUAGUUGAGGAAGAUAAUUAAUCACAAUGUCUGAAGCUGUUGCUGUUGGCGUCACCUAUUGUUAAGAUUUCAUCCUUUUUUAUGGUUUUACAUAGCUGUGACCUAAAGCUUAAUGUAUACGUUGAUAAUUACAUAAUUGGUUUCUUGCUGAUACUUGGCUUUAAUUUGUAAGCCUGAGGCUCUUUCGGGAAUUGAGAAGAUUUACGGAAGAGGAGUUUCUGAUUAUCUGGUUUGUUCUCUUUAUGCUUACAGAAUUUGAAUUAACGCUCUGCAUGAAUUUAUGAUUCAUUUUUUUUGGAGAAAUAUUUUAUGAAAUUGAAGCAUUGGAGUAAAGCGUACUAGUCGUAAGCUUGAUUCACUUUGUUUUGAUUUUAUUACCAAGAGGUGCUAACAGUUCAUGAUGCAUAAAAGAGGGGGAAAAAAACUCUUCUUGGUAGAUACAUAAAUUUUAGUUUCUGAAUCAUUUUCAACGAAAGAAAUAAUUUUACAGAGGCUGAAGAGCAGCAUUUUCAUUUAUAUGAAAGUUCAAUUGUUAUAUCAUCUGUUUCCAUAUCUUUUGUGGUAAAUAAAGUCCUUGAUGAUGGCAUAAGAGCACAGAAGAGUUGUUAGUUUCAUAUGUGGAGAUUUUCAUCAUAGUAGUUCAUUGAAAGUGAAGGCAGCUGAAUACCCUUUUUUCUGAUGCAGUCUGUCCCUCUUUGGUGUGAUUAUUUAAAAUUUGUGCAAGAAUAUGAUCCAUCUAUACGCGAAUGUUUACCCAAUGGCACUUCAAAGGCAAGGAAUCUAUUUGAGCGGCUAUUACUGCUGCUGGUCUGCAUGUUUUAGAAGGCAGUGAAAUAUGGGAAUUGUACAGAGAAUUUGAGCUAGCUAUAUUUAGUAGGAUUGAUAAGAUUAACUUGAAUGUGAAAUAUUUUAAUUUAUUUUACUUUUUUUUGGGCUUAAAUAACGAGUUUAUUCCCAUCUAUAGAAAGAAAAAGGGAAGGUUUUUUUUUUUUUUGCUGGGGGGGGUGUUUCCAACCCUAGCACAUGACAAGCAUUCCAAGACCCUUGCUGCUUGUUUUGCAGGAAAAGGAAAAACAGGUUCUGCGGAUUCGAAGUAUAUUUCAUCGCCAGUUGUCUGUUCCCCUUGCUAACUCAAGUGCAACUCUUCUUGCCUACAAAUCUUGGGAGCUCAAACAGGGGGCUGUUCUUGAUGUUGAAUCUAGUAAUGUAGAUGGGAUUUCUUCUAAUGUUGCCGCAGCAUACCAAAAGGCAUUGGAGAUGUGUAAUGCACGAGCUCAUGUUGAAGAGCAGAUUUCUAGGCAGGAUUUAUCUGACUCAGAGAAAUUUCAACAAUACAUGGCAGAUGACUUUACUAUCGUCAUUUGAUAGCUUUUUAUAGUAAGUGAAAUCCAGCCCUAAAAAUUUUAUUAAUAUGAAUAUUUUUUUGGGGGGAUUUCUUCUUAUGGCAUUAUUAUUUUGCUUUUGUGUAGCUAACAAUUAAUAUGUGCACUUUAAAUAUUAUCUAUUGUUUCUUAGCAAAUAAUAGUAAUAAUAAUAAGUAAUAAAUAAUUAAUAUCUGCAUUGUCAAAUAAUAAUAAUAAUAAUGUCUGCUCUUUUUACUCUUGGGGGGGGGGGCAUGCAGUGUCAUUAUCUUCCUUCUUCUCCUUUUUCUAUUUUGUGCUUUCAAGUUUAAUAUUAUUAUAUUAAUCUGUUAUUGUUGUAGAUAUACUUGAAGUAUGAGCAAUCUUCUGGAGAUCCUGGUAGAGUUCAACUUCUUUAUGAACGGGCUAUUACCGACUUUCCUGUAUCAAGUGAUCUCUGGCUUGAUUAUACUCGUUAUCUUGACAAAACAUUAAAGGUUUAUCCUUCUAUUUUCUAUUUUACUUCUUCUGUUGCAGCUAUUUGUAUACUAAUCGACUCUCCUCUUCAGGUUGGUAAUGUUGUGAGAGAUGUUUAUUCCAGGGCUACAAAAAAUUGUCCCUGGGUAGGAAAACUUUGGGUACGAUCUUUGCUUUCUCUGGAACAUGGCCGUGUUUCUGAGGAGGAGAUAUCCACUGUAGGUUUAAUUGUUACCCUUCAUUCUGAGCUUAAUCAAUUUUCCUGAAUGUAUUCAUUCUGAGCUUAAUCAAGUUUCCUGAAUGUAAUUGAUUUUGAUUGUUUGAAGUUAAAGAAAUGAUCAGCUUCCUAGGCAAAUUUCUUGGCAAGCACUUGAUUGUGGGAGUAACUGAGGAGAAGCAUUCCCUAGUGUUUUUUUUUGUUUUUCUCCUCCCCUAAAAUUGCAAUAUACUUCCCUUGAAGAGUAUUUUUUGCUUUAGCAUUUACACAUCUGUACAGAAGCAAACAUGAAUCAGAGAGAUUUAGUGGGCAAAUUCACCUGUGCUGACAAAUUAAAGCAUAUUAAAUACCGCGGUGGUUGUUGGAAUGCUCCAAAAAGUGUUUUCUUGGUGCUCCUGCUCCUUUUGCACUUUCAUAGUGUUUUAAUAACUGGGUUGUUUAAAUGUCCUGUACUUAUUUUCUUUACAAAUGUCUUUGUAUUUUUUUAAAUUUAUAAAAGAUUGUUCUAAUUAUAUUAAUAGCAACAAAUUGCGCAAACUCAAAUCUUAAUUUCAUUCUGCCCCUAUUACAUAUAUACGGGAUUCUCCUAUUAUUUCAUCAAAUUUUCCAUUACUAAUUUCAGGUCUUUGAGAAGUCACUACUAUGUACUUUUUCAACCUUUGAGGAGGUAGAGAUAUAAUCUUAUGUCUUCUGUACAUACCUUGGUUUCUUGAGCUGUAUGAUUUGGUAUAUAUCUACUUCUGAUUCAUCAUGCAUUUUUUUGUUAACUGGUUCUUUUUUGUUUGAGUACCUAGAUCUAUUCCUUACUUGAAUAGAUGGUUUGAGGUGGAGAAUUUUAUUCUCCGGUGAAGUUGAGGGCGCCUUGGAUUAUUCAUUGAUAACGGAAACCCUUCAGGUUUGUAAACUUAUACUGUUGGCUAUUCAAUAUUAAAAUUGGUUAUACUCCUUAAUAUCAAGAAAUUGAAGCUUCCCAAAUCAUACCCAAGAAAUGCUCUAUUGUGGAUUACUGGAUGGAGCUAGUUGCUAGAUGAUACCUUUAAGAUUCAAGACAUAUGUUGUUUUGUGUAUGGCUAUCAAGUACUUUGGCCUGCAAUUGUGGCAUAUUGGUCUUACGCCAGCAUCAGGUAUAACAUUGUGUCUGGCAUAUAUACCAUUGGAAUUCUGGGUUUCUGUUGAGUGGGCUCCAACAGCUAUAUUUGUGUCCAAUGUUGUGGGGUCCUCUUCUUUGGUGCUUUUAAGUGAAGUUUUAACUUUCCUUGUCAAAAUUUUGUUACAAAUCAAGUAGAAGGCACUGCACUGAAGCAUUGGUACUUCUAGAUUGCUUGUUUUGCAUGGUAGAUUUCAAUCCAUUGCUUUUAUUUCUUGGAUCAUGUUUAUCAUUGAGGACUUUCUUGGCCAGUCAUAGAGCUGACUAGUGCUACCAUCAUCAUUGGUAGGGCAAAAAAGUCAAUUCCUAUGGGAUGCUUUCUGACUUAGAGAAGAUGUCUUCAAGAAUUUGUGGAUUUAAGUCUUCACACGAUGUUCAACUCUUGAUAGUCUAACCUUGGUACAGGAUUUAUAGCUGUCUUCCAAGUUUGUGCUCAUAAAUGAGUAACCUGUCUGUCUUUAUGAUACCAGUUAAAUUUGUUAGCUUUCCGGGAUUUGGAGGUUGUAAAUGUCCAUAAACAACAAUGUCUUCUCUUCCUUACAGCGUGCAUCAGAUUACUUGUCAGAACAGAUGAAAAAUAACAAUGGUUUGCUGCGUUUGUAUGCUUAUUGGGCACGUCUUGAACAAACUAUGGGAAAAGAUACGGUUUCAGCUCGUAGUGUCUGGGAGAGGCUACUUAAGAUCAGGUUCACCAAUUUUAAUUUUUGCCAGUGCAUACAUAGCAAAAUUUCUUUAUAUCUAUAUAUUUUCGGAUAACUUGUGCUUCUCUUAAUGCAGUGGUACAAUGUUGGAAGCCUGGCAAAGUUAUAUAUCUGUGGAAAUUGAAUUGGGUCAUAUUAAUGAAGCUAGAUCCAUCGACAAGAGAUGCUACAGUAAAAGAUUUACAAGGACAGGUUCAGAGGUAAAUUUCUUUCAUCCUGCUUCUUUAAUGAAUAUUAACUGCUUAACAACGUACCUUGUUGUUUCCAUCUUGUUUGUUUAACUGGUCUUAUUUGUAAACACCUGAAAUCAUACAUCUUAAUUUCUGAUAAUUAGAUGUUAUUUUAGAUAUCUGUAUCUGUUAAUGUUCUUUCAAGUCUGAUUCCAAUGCAUAUUUAGUUAAACUGCUCUUUACUGCAUUUUGGAUUAGUUGAUAUCUUCCUUUCCUAAAAACAGAAUCAUUCAGGACAUAUGCCAUGCUUGGCUGCAAUUUGAAUGGGAAUUUUGUAUAAAAUUUUUAAUGAAUUUAUGGGUUUGAUGAGUAAAAUUAGGGGUUCAUAUAGACUCACCCAUAAAUUGAACCCUUAUUUUAUGUUGAUGCACAACUUAACUUAACAAAAAUAAUGUUCAAAUUGUCACAAAAUUUGAAAAAAAAAUCAUACAGUUAAUUUUUCUUCUACUUUACUCCAUUAUUCAAUGGGCAUAUAAUAAAUUAGGAGAGGGGAGAAAUAAAGGGGAAAAUUAGAGUAUUGUCGCAAUGAUACACUGAUACAAAUGCCCAUUGAGUGAUUGUCAAUGGGCAUAUAAUAAAUUAGGAGAGGGGAGAAAUAAAGGGGAAAAUUAGAGUGAUUGUCACAAUGAUACACUGAUACAAAUGCUUAUGUAUGUGUAGUGUGUGUGUGGGGCGUUCUUUAAUUUGACCAAAAAUAAAUGCAUUUAUUUGUAUUUUUAAUCAAAAUCGAGGGAUAUAAACAAAAAUUUUACCACUCCAGAGUCCAGACAUGUAUCAUUGCCUCGUUAAAAAAAAUUGCAUAAAAUUAAAAAACCAUUAGUGGCUGAAAGAGAGAAACAAAUUAAGAAAGGGUUCAAAAGAUGGAACCCGAAGAGAAAACCCUAGCAACAAUCCCAGAAGAAGAAGAAGAAGAUGGAGACACGGCCAUGCCCGACGUCAAGAACAACCCUAAACCAACAACAACAGCCAACUCUUCGGACUCGAGCGAUGCCUCUGACUCAGACUCGGACUCUGACUCAGAAGAUGAAGCAAAACAGAACAUGGAGCUUCAAACCCUAGAGUAUCAGCUAUCCAAUGAACCCUCCAAUUACGACACCUAUGUUCAAGUAACUUCAAUACACAUAUUUAUUGAGUGAUUUUGUGGAUAACCGUUUGCUUGUUCUUUCUUGGGUUGUGAUAAAAAUGGUUUUUAUCUUUUUUUUUUCAGUAAAUAAAGGUUUUGAGAAAAAUGGGUGAGAUAGAGAAAUUGAGACAAGCUAGGGAAGCCAUGAAUGAGAUUUUUCCAUUGACUCCUGCUAUGUGACAAGAAUGGGUGAGAGAUGAAGCCUCUAUUUCAACUGGGCAUCUGUCAUUUCCUAUUGCAAUGGUUUUUUAUUUUGUGAGCAAAUGUUUUUUUUGCUUAGAGAUAUAGAUGUUUAUGUUAGUUAUUUGCUAAUGUAAGAAGGAACAAAACCUGCUUAAAAGGUAUUAAAGAAAGAAAAAAGGAACCAAUUUAAAGAAGGGGAUACUUAUAGUGGGAGUUCUACUUUGGGGUUUAAUUGAUGGAAAGAAGAAAUAGCUUAUAUGUUUACAGAAUUAGACAUUUGAUCGCUGAGUUAGUUGAGGAAGAUGGUUAAUCACAAUGUCUGAUGUUGUUUCUGUUGGCCUGAACUAGUUGUUAAGAUUUCAUACUUUCAUUCAACAAUACAAUAGACUUUGAUUGGGUCCACCGUAGUUGGGUGUUCUGAGGAAUCAAUGAGUGUCUUGAGAAAACUUGGGUGGAGUGCUGGUCAUUUUCAGGAUUCAGUUUCCAAGAAAACAAAAAUGAAGUCGUAGUUGUAGUUUAAAUUAAUUUAUGUUUUUAUCUUUUUCUGUGAGCCCAGUGAGCUUUUAUUUUCACUUUGUUCGCUUUUGUUUCUUUCCCUUCUUUUCCUACAGUUUCUUGAUAAUCAAACAGAUCAGGAUUAAGUGUUUACUUUUGGUUAGGGGUGGGCGUUCGGUUCGGGUUAACCCGAACUAAACCGAACCUGAAAUUUAUUUCGGGUUCGGUUCGGUUUGGGUUAACUCGUGCAACCCGAACGGAUUCAAAGCUUCAAUCUGUUCGGGUUAAAUUUCGGUUCGGGUUCAACCCGAACCGAAUUUUCAACCCGUUCGGGUUGAAGCUUUUUUUUUUUUAAAGAUUUAGCUUUUAAAUUAAAAAUAUAUAUACAUUAAUUAAACCAAAAAAUCCCUAAAAAUGAAAAAUCCCUAAACAAAAAUCUCUCCCUCUCGGCCUCCCCCUCCUUGCUCCCUCUUCUCACUUCUCAGUUCUCACUUUCUGUGAACUGUGGUUGAUGACAUCAGCACUUCAGCAGCAGCCACAGCAGCCCCGUUCAGCUCCAACAGACACCAGCCGGCCUCAUCGUCUCACUCCCUCCCCCUCCUUGCUCCAUCGUUUCACUCCCUCCCACGACGACAACACUCACAGGCCACAACAGCAGCCAGCAGCCCCGUUCACAGCAGCCCACUCGCGUCAGCCAGCACGCCUCGCCCGCAACUGCGCUGUGCGUUCAGCUCGCGUCCCACUCAGCCCAGGAAGUCUCGAUCUGCCAACGCUGUAGCUGCUCUGACCUCCGAGAUUAAGGUUUGUCUUGCCUUGCCGACGGCGACGCUGUAACUUGCUGACUUGCACGCAACUGAUGGCAACAACCCGAAUUGAAUUUUAAGUUUUUAACAGCCUGUUGCUAUUAAUUAAAUUGUAAAUUUUUAAUUAAUUGAUUGACAAUUAUUCAAUUAUUUGAAGUGGGUUUGUUGUUGUUGAUUGAUAAUUGAACCCGAACUAAUCCAAACUAACCCGAAUUAACCCGAACCGAAAUUGUAACCCGAAUUAUCAACCCAAUCCGAUCCGAAUUGUCAAUCCAAACCGAACCGAACCGAAUUGGUUCGGGUUGGCGUUUUCAACCCGAUUGGGUUCAAUUCUCCAACCCGAACGGGUUGAAACCCAAACCGAAACCCGAACAACCCGAACCGAAACCCGAAACGCCCACCCCUACUUUUGGUGUAAUUAUUCACUCUAACUCGAAUAGUACUUAGGUUUAGUGCUAACAAAAUAGGAAGUGAAUUAAUAUCUGAAGUUGACCUAGGAGUGGAAUGAAUGUUACCAAAAAUAUACUAUAUGGUAGAUAGAAUUUGCCUUUUAGGUAAGACAAAAAUAAUUACAGCUGUUAAUUUAUUUCAAUAAGUUCGUACAUCAUUGAAUAAUAAGUCCAAGAUUUUAAUGGUUUUGUUUCCUGAAAAUUUGUCACGAGUGCAUGAACAAAGUUCUAUGGAUGAACUUCUCUUAGUUAAUUUGAGUUCAAUGUCGCAGUUCCUCAUAUUAACUAUAUAAAACACUAAUCUUGCUCUUUACUUUGGAGCAUUUUAAUAAUUGAUGCUAAUUCCUUAGCCAUUUUAUUCAUCUUGUGCAUAAAUUAUGCAAUCAAUAAGCCAACUCCACUUUCAUCUUUAUUUAGUGAAAAAUUUGCAAGGUCACUAGGAGGUUUUUGUAUGUCUCAUGCUAACAUGGACGCCAUGGUUUCACUAUGUAAAUUUUCCCCACUGAAAUUCAUGAUCCCUCAUAUACCACUCAUCACUCAUGAAGCUGUUUCUGGGGCUUUAAAAGCGCCAAAUUUUAGUUUUAUCCUUUCUAGCUUAUUAACCUGUCCGCAUCUGCAUUAUUAUCUUUCCUGUCAUACGAAAGUUUCAUUUAUCAUCUUCCCAACAUAAACAUCCGUAGGUCAUUGUUGACUUUUUUGCUUUGACACUUAUUGUUUCUAAGUAUAGGCUACCAAGGGAGAAAAAAAUUGACAUUGAUGGUCAUCCCCAGCAUUUUUAUCCCAGGAGACUGGUCAUUCACUUUCUAUGAAGGACUAUAUAGACAUCCAGACUCUAUUUUGAAGGACAAAGCUGUGGCUGAGCUUGGUUGUGGAAAUGGAUGGAUAACCAUUGCCAUAGCUGAGAAGUGGUUGCCUUUGAAGUUUUGUUGGUUUGUCGUCCUUAUGCCAUGUGAGAGCUUUUAUUUCCUUCCCUACCAGUGCCUUCAGGGGCUCCAUCAUGAUUUCUCUCAUCAUUUUCUAUCUCUGUGUUUUGCAAGGCCAUUUGAUAUUUAUAACAGCAUUGGCACCAGGUUAUGGUGAUUUAAUGCACUCCUAUUAGGAAAAAUUACAUAAUUAUCAACUCUGUCCUUGUCCAAAAGUCUUUGUUGGAGUAUGUUGAAAAUAUAACCUUGUAGGAGUUCUUUUAUGCUGUCUGAAUAUCCUAUUGCAGGUCUAUGGCCUUGAUAUUAAUCCCAGAGCAAUAAAGAUCUCUUGGAUAAAAUUGUACUUAAAUGCAUUAGAUGAAUCUUUUUCUAAGCUUUUCUGUCACUGUCACUGCAAAAGGUCUUUUGUAUUGAGGGUUAUCUGUGGGGCUAGGAAAGGUCAGCCCAUCUAUGAUGCGGUGAAGAAAACCUUACUGGAUAGGGUGGAGUUUGAUGAAUCUAAUCUCCUAGCAUAUUGUAGACAUCAUGACAUUCAACUUGAAUGAAUAGUGGGGUGCAGACCUCAGGUACUCUCACUUUCUGCAACUCAUGAUAUUUCUAGGGGAUUAAAUUUUAGUGAAGUUUGUUUACCCAACAUCAAGUUGGAAUUUUAGUGUGCCCACAUGGAUUACUUUUAACUCCUAGUUUAACUUAUUCUGUUGUCUCCAUGCAGGUUCUCAACCCCAAUUCCAAUGCAAUGUCGAAAAUAAUCACUGAAAAUGCAAGCGAGGAAUUUCUGUAUUCAUUGAGUAACUAUUGUGGAUUGCAGGUUGGAAGAUAUUCUAAAUAAUUUAAUUGUGAUGCGCAAUUGCAAUUGCCGGGAAGUUAGCAAUUAAGUUGAUAGGCUUCUUCUGGUUUCACAUAUUUCUAAGUAACAACUUUGGUUUGAAGCUUGCAUACCUUAGGUAAGGUUGAUGUCUUUAGUUGGUCAAUAUCAAUUGGGAAAUAUAGCUAACCAGUGAAGACAGUGGGAAAAGGAUGAUGUGAGUUUGACAAAUGCUGGGAGGAGAUAGGGAAACUUAAUCUGAAAGAUUUCUUUUUUUUUCUUGGUUUAUUUAUUUAUUUACUCGUGUGACCUCUUCACAAUGCCAUUGAUUCCCAUAGUUCAUGUUGCUAGGUGAACUUAACAACAACCAUCUAUUAUGCCUUGUGGAUAACUGAGAAAAUUUAUUGCUUUGGACAAGUUGCUUUUUGAAAUAGAGUGCAAGUAGAUUGACUAAUAAUGAACUUAUUGUAUCAAGUUGUUACAUUUGAAUAUAUUAAGGUCAUAUAAAGCUUACUUGUUAUACUUCUUUUUUUCUUUUUUCCCUCCCCAUUUCCCUGUAUGGAGGGUUUCUUGGACGAUCAGUUUGGCUUAGGUCUAAUUUUCUCGAGCAGUUAAGGAAUUACUGUUAUCAAAAUAAAGUUUCCUCUCACUCACUAGCCAAUUGAGCAGCUCGUCACCGGUCGGAUUCAUUGCCGAUUGCAGCCCACCUCCAUCAUGUCAGUUCAGUAGCUUGUCGCUGCAGUCAUGAUCGGCCUCUUUGUUGUCGUUGAAGAACCAAUCAAUAAUGAUGAUGAUUGAUGAUGAUGAUGAUUACCAUUGUUGAUGAUUAAUAUUAUUGAUGAUGAUGAUGUAGAUGAUGUAAUUGCGGUGAGAUGAUGAAGAUGAAACUGAAUUGUGAUGUUGAUAAUGAAAUUGACAGAAGGAAGAAGAAGAUUGUGAAAAAUCUGACUUCUUCACUCGUAUUACAUUAGAGAAGAAUACAUAUUUAUAUACAUUACACCCUAGGAAUAAAAUGGUAAAAAAAAAACAGCUAAGAUAUUGCAAAUCAGUAUCCCUGAAAAUUAGGGAUUAUAUAUCCUAAAAUCUAGUAUUUAAGUCAACACAUAGCUGUAAAAUACAGCUAACAUCUACAACAAUAGUCAACACACAGCUGUAAAAUACAACUGACAUCUGCAACACUCCCCCUCAAGCUGGAGCAUAGAUAUUCUUCAUGCCUAGCUUGCAUACAAACUCUUCAAACUUGUGUCCAUGCAUUCCUUUUGUCAACAUAUCUGCAGUUUGUUGUCCUGUUAGAAUAUACACCAAACAGAUAACUCCAGUUUCCAAUUUCUCUUUAAUAAAAUGUCGGUCUACCUCCACAUGUUUUGUCCUGUCAUGAUGGACAGGAUUAUGGGCAAUAUUAAUUGCUGCCUUAUUGUCACAGUAAAGUUGCAUAGAACUAUUUUUUAUUAACUGUAGUUCUUUGAGAACACGUUCUAUCCACAUAAGCUCACAUACCGCAUGUGCUAGUGCUCGAAAUUCUGCUUCUGCACUGCUUCGUGCCACUACAGUUUGCUUCUUGCUUCUCCAAGUUACAAGGUUUCCCCACACCUUAGUACAAUAACCCGUUGUAGACUUCCUAUCCAUGAUGUUUCCAGCCCAAUCCGCAUCAACAAAAGCUUCUACAUUCCUUUUUUCUCCCUUCUCAAAAUAAAGUCCCUUUCCCGGUGUUGACUUCAGGUAUUGAAGUAUUCGGUUUACUGCCACUAAGUGAGCUUCUUUUGGGGCGUGCAUAAACUGGCUCACUAAGCUAACCGCAAAAGCAAUAUCAAGUCUAGUAUGGGAAAGAUAAAUUAAUCUCCCUACUAGCCUUUGAUAUCUCCCCCUCUCCACGGGUGCACUAUUUUCUUCAAGACCCAACUUGCUAUUUGGUUCAAUUGGUGUGGCAGCAGGUUUACAGCCAAUCAUACCAGUAUCCUUUAGCAAAUCUAGGGUGCAUUUCCGUUGUGUAACUAGAAUACCUUUAGCUGUUCUAGCUACCUCCAUUCCCAAAAAAUAACGUAGUGGUCCAAGAUCCUUGAUUUCAAACUCACCAGCUAAUUUUUCUUUUAAUCCUUCCAGCUCUUCUUUGUCAUCUCCUGUUAGUAUAAUGUCAUUAACAUACACGAUCAAAAUAGCUAACUUCCCUUCUUUAGACCGUUUGUAGAACAUAGUAUGAUCGGCUUGCCCUUAAGAAUAACCAUAGUUCUUCAAGACUUUCCAAAUCGAUCGAACCAAGCCCUAGGGGACUGUUUAAGGCCAUAGAGAGACCUUUUUAACCGACAAACUCUUCCAGCAGGUCCUUUUUCUUCAAAACCAGGCGGCAUAUCCAUGUAAACUUCCUCUUCCAAUUCUCCAUUCAAGAAUGCAUUCUUGAUAUCAAGUUGGUUGAGAGGCCAAUCUAAAUUUGCAGCAAGAGAGAGAAGGAUCCUUACAGUAUUAAGCUUUGCCACUGGAGCAAAAGUUUCUAGAUAGUCCACCCCAUAGGUUUGUGUGAAACCUUUCGCCACGAGUCUUGCUUUAUACCUGUCCACACUUCCAUCAACCUUAAAUUUGACUGUAAAUACCCACUUGCACCCCACAGUCCUCUUGUCUUUAGGUCUUGGUACAAGCUUCCAUGUGUUAUUCUUUAUUAAGGCUGCCAUUUCUUCUUAAACAGUUUUCUUCCACUCAUUUGACUCUAGGGCUUCAUGGAUGUUUCUUGGAAUAGUGGUAUUAGAUAGACUGGCCACAAAAUUCCUAUACUCCUUAGAUAGAUUUGCAUAUGACAAGAACUUGUUGAUAGGAUGUUUAGUGCAAUUUCUUACCCCUUUCCUUAUCGCAAUAGGCAAAUCUGUGGACUUCUGAGCUUCGUUCUCAGCAUAUUCAGUAGGUGGGUUUUGAUCCUCCCUUAGUUCAGAUCUCGGUUCUGCUUGGUCUAUAAGUGGCUGUACCUCUUGAGUUUUAUUCUUCUUUCGUGAAUAGACAUGAAACUCGCCUAUAGGUUCCUCCAAAUGUGAAUUGGUUUUUAUUCCUUCAUUCCUUGGUGACACUAUUGGUUGAUUAAGUUCUAUGGUGUUAGGUAGGUUAGGAUGAAUGUCUGGACUGAGGAAGGAGGUAUUUGGUAGAUUGAGUUCUAGGCUGGAAUUACUGGACAUAUUAGGUUCUAGGCUGGAACAUCUGGACAUAUUGGGUUCUAGGCUGGAACUACUGGACAUAUUGGGUUCUAGGCUGAAAUUACUAGGCAUCUUAGGUUCUAAAAUGCCAAGAAGAUCCCAGGAAUUAUCUUCUCUCAAAUUCUGCCCCUGAAGAGAAUUACUCGUGUAAAAAGGCUGAUUUCAAAGAACUUGACAUCCAUUGUGACGAAUAAUUUUUUGGUAAGAGGAUUAUAACACUUGAACCCUUUCUUGGUAGGAGAAUAUCCUAGAAAUAGGCACUUGAUGGCUCUAGGAGACAACUUUGUUCUUUGAAGACUCGGAAGAUAUACAAAGGCUGUACAACCAAAAGUUUUGAGUGCAAAAUUAGAGGUAACAAGGUGAUUUUGUGGGUAGCUGUCAAGAAAAACAAAAAUAGGUGUCUUGAAUUUAAGAACUCGAGAGGGCAUACGAUUUAUGAGAUAAGAUGCUGUAAGAAUGGCCUCUCCCCAAUAUAUUUUUGGUACAUUAGUUGUGAACAUAAUGACCCUAGCAACCUCUAAAAGGUGUCUGUUUUACGUUCUGCAACCCCAUUUUGUUGUGGUGUUUCGGAACAAGAACUUUGGUGGACAAUUCCUUGUUGUGAUAGGUAAUUCCCUAAAAUAGAAUUGAAAUACUCAGUUCCAUUAUCUGUACGGAGUACACGAUUUUCAGUUUGAAACUGAGUUUUUACCAUGACAUGGAAUUGUUUAAAAGUUUGUCCAGCUUCAGAUUUUUCCUUCAAAAGGUACACCCAAGUGGUCCUAGAGUGGUCAUCUAUGAAUGUUAUGAACCAUUUUGCUUUUGACAGGUUGUUAACCCUUGAGGGGCCCCAAAUAUCACUAUGAAUCAAAGAGAAAGGCUGGGAUGGUUUAUAAGUACGGGUAGGAAAUGAAACACGUGUUUGUUUAGCCAUUUAACAAAAGUCACAAUAUAAUAAACUCAAAUUUUGAUUUUUAAAUAAGGAAGGAAACAAGGUUUUUAGAUAUGGAAAGCUAGGGUGGCCUAACCUAUAGUGCCACAACAUUAUUUCAGAAGAAACAAAUUCACAUUGAGAGACCUGAGCAUGUCCUUUCACGAGUCUUUUAUUCUCGAGAUAGUACAGUCCCUCAUAUUCCUUUGCAUUCCUAGUCAUCCUCCCCAAGAUUGGAUCCUGAAAUAGACAUUUAGAACCACAGAAUUUAGCUACACAGUUUGUGUCUUUAGUAAGUUUACUAACUGAAAGAAGAUUGCAUUUAAGAUUUGGGACAUGUAAAACUGAAAAAGAGUCAAACAAUUUGAUAGUUUUACUGUUCCUUUUCCAGCAACAGUGGAUAAUGAUCCAUCAGCAAUCCUCACUUUAUAAUUACCUGGACAUGGAGUGUAACUAGAGAAAAAUUGAGAAGACCCUGUCAUAUGGUCUGAGGUCCCUGAAUCAACAAUCCAAGAACCUUUUUCAAGGGAUUGGAUGCUAAGGGCUGAUGGGUUACCUGUAUGGACUGCAUUACAACUAGAGGAGGUCAAGUCAUUUUUAUUUGCUUGCUGAUUUUGUAUAAGGAGCUGUUGCAGCAUCUCAAAUUGAUCUUUUGCGAGGGCAAACUGAUUAGUUUUCUCUGUCACCAUUCCCUUUGCUUCUUGCUGCCGUUUUGGUUUCCAAUCUGCUGGCUUUCCAUGAAGCCUCCAGCAUGAGUCUCGAGUAUGCCCUUUCUUGUGACAAUAGUCGCAAUAGGGACGUUCUCCAUGUUUUUGUCCCUUUUGGUUAGCUGACUGAUCUGUCUUUUUGGUCACCAGCGCUGAUCUCUCCGCCUCAGGUUCCUUCACCAGUCCCAUCAUGACUCUCUUUCGACUUUCUUCACGCCCCACCUCAACAAAAGCUUCUCGGAUGGAGGGUAGAGGAUUCUUUCCUAAUAUUCUGCCACGAACUUCAUCAAGUUCUUUGUUGAGUCCAUAAAGGAAAUCAAAGAGACGUUCUUUAUCCAACAUCCUCUUAUUUUGAUGGCAUCCUCAGAGCAAUGCCAUUGCGAUUCAUAGUAAAGGUCAAGUUCAUGCCAUAUAUUGUUUAGAGAAUUGAAAUAUUGAGUCACUGAAAGACUCCCUUGCUUUUGGUCACGUAAUUGUGACUUGAUUUCAAAGAGCUGAGCUGCAUUCCCCAGGUCAGAGUAAGUUUCUGUCACGGCUUCCCAAAGCUCCUUCGCAGAUGGUAGGAAGAGAUAAGUCCUACCAAUAUCCACGUCCAUCGAGUUGAUCAACCAAGUUUGCACCAUUGAAUUUUCAGCAUCCCACUGUGGAUAACCUGGAUCCAAGACAUCAGGGGCUUUGGUUUCCCCUGUAAUAUACCCUAAUCGGCCUUUGCCACGAAGAAAUAGGGUGACAGAUUGAGACCAUUGCAAAAAGUUUCUGCCAUUUAACUUGUGCAAAGUUAUUUGCAAAGAGGGGUUUUCGGUACCUAAGGAGACCGAAGAGAUGUCCUGCCUUGUUACAGAACUGGAGGAAAUCUCAGAUUCUUGUGUAGGGUUUGUUGUCUUCUCCAUUGGAUGGGUUGAGAGUUUAGAAUGAGAAAAAAAUUCAGAGGCUUAGUUUAAAAGAGUUGCUCUGAUACCAUGUGAAAAAUCAGACUUCUUCACUUGUAUUACAUUAGAGAAGAAUACAUAUUUAUAUACAUUACACCCUAGGAAUAAAAUGGUAAAAGAAAAAAAAGCUAAGAUAUUGCAAAUCAAUAUCCCUGAAAAUUAGGGAUUAUAUAUCCUAAAAUCUAGUAUUUAAGUCAACACAUAGCUGUAAAAUACAGCUAACAUCUACAACAAUAGUCAACACACAGCUGUAAAAUACAGCUGACAUCUGCAACAAAGAUAAUUGUGGUGAUGAUGAUGAUGUUGAUGGAGAAGAUGAAAUUGACAUGAUUGAUGAUGAAGUAACGAAGAAUUUGUAAAACACACACACACACACACACAGAGAGAGAGAGAGAGAGAGAGAGAGAGAGAGAGAGAGAGAGAGAGAGAGAGAGGAGAAGAGGAUAAAAAAAAAGAUAGAGAAAAACAGGAGAGAAAAUAAUAACAAAAACAAAAGAGGAAAAUAAUUAUUAUUGUUAUUAUUAUUAUUAACAAUAACUUUCUUAAUAACCAUAAUCAUAUAAUAGAUAAUAAAAAUAGAAGGUAAUAAUAACUAAGGGUAUUUUAAUAAUUUAAAUAAUUUAUUGUAAUUUCAAGGUAAAGUAAAUAUAUUAAUGAUAAUACAGUUUAUUUUAAUUUUGAUUCUUAUAAUUGAAGUAAAUAAUUUAUUUUAAUUUUUAUUUCACAUUUUAAUUUUAUUCUAUUCUGAAUUAGUAAACGCAUCAUAAAAUCAUGUGAUUCUACUCUAUAUGUGAGAUUGAUUUUUUUCUUUAAGGCCUACGACAUCCCAAUACAAGUCUAUAUAGGACCAAGCUACUAAGUGGACGGUCAUAAAAACUUAAAAAGGCAUAAAAUUGGAUGGCCGUCUAAUUAAUUUCCCGUGACCUACAACAAAAAUUUAAGAAGGAACUCCGAUACCAUCAAUUCUGCAUUUUAAUUUGAAGUUGGAAAACAGUGAAAACAGAAGGAUCGGGUGAUUUAAUUUUAUACAUAUUUAAUCAAGUAAAAAUGGCACGUGCGUUGUAAUUUGCCCAGUUAUCUUACUUUGAAUAAUAACAAAGUUCAAAUUUUGUAUUCAGUGAAAAAUCAAUUCUAUAGUGAAAAACACUAGCUAGAAAAAAAUCUAUGUCCUGAUGUCUUAGUUUAUAAGCUCAAACAAUGAAUAGUAUACAUACAACGCAUGAUAGAACACAAACUCAUAUAGAUUUUUAGUUUUGAAAUUCAUUUCAGAAAAUCUGUUCUGUUCAACAGGUUAUAGAUUAUCAACUAAACUCUGCCCACAUUCUUAGCUCUGCCAUUGGAAGUACGCAACUCAGCUGCCCAUCGACCGCCAAGCCAUCAAGACAAUACCAAGAUACAACAUCAAUAAUAAUAACAUCAAGAAUUACAUAGAGGCCGUCGCACGUUACACCCACUCCAACAGGAAACUAAUUAAUACCCUCCAAGCUCCUCUGUUUCAAAUCCAAAUCCACUGCUCGACCAUUUACUAUGACGUAAGGUAUAUGGAUUAAUUAACAAGUGCCGAUAUUGUCCUCCAUCCUUUUGUGUACCUUUCUUCUGGCAAGGCCUUUUCUGGAAAGUAUUUGAGCUCCAGACAAUUGCAGAAUUUCAAUUUGCUGAGGUUUUGAUGAUCAGCAAUUGAAGAAGACAGGUGUUAAUAAUUAUGAAGAACUGGUGUAAUUUAUAUCAUGUAGGAAGCCCUUCAGUUACUUUUUUGACCGUGCUCAAGCUCUUUUAAGGGCUAAUAUUAAAAUUUCGUGAUAUUGUGCCAAAAGAGCUUCGUACGUCAUUGUAAACUGUUCAUCGUUAUGUGCUGCUUCCCCAUUUAAUUACAUUUAUUUAACAUUUUAAAGAUGGAAGUAGAAAUUAAAACUCAGUUUUUCAGAUAUGGCUCAUAUACAAUGCAAGUAUCAAGAUUUAAUUAGAGUUCAAUAUACAUGCGUCUAGUUUUUAUUGAGAGAAACAAAUCAUAAAUACUCAGGUGUUUCUAAAUGAUUGAAUAACGAUAUUAUUGUUAUUUAUAAAUUUAUAAGGAUAAAUAACUAAUAGUCCACCAUAAAUACCGAAAAGGGUCCCCAGCAUAACUUGAACAACUUUACUUGUGUUUGCUCAUUGAAUAAUGUUAUAAGAAAGAAAUACAUAUGUCAGAAGAUUCAUAGUAUAUUGGAGUGUUUUUUGUACUUGAAUGAGAAUGAAUGAAGGUAUGUUAAUUUACUUUAAAUAAUUGUCUAAAAGGAAUAGAAAUGCUCUAUAACAUACCAAAUACUACCUUAAUCAAAAUUUAUUUGACAAAAAUUUUUAAAAAAUGGAAUAAUUAACCCUAAUUAAAUAAUUGUCUUAUAUCACCAAACUCUUUUUUUUUUAAUUAAGCCAUCACCAAACUCUGUAAAGCAUAAAAUAUAAUAGGCAAAUUUGAGUUAAAAAAAAAUGAAGUUAGGAAAAUGACUUGCAUAUUGUCUUUGAUGAGCGCAUAAUUUUCUUUUAAAAAAAAUGUUGAAAUGAACUCAAACUCGUUAGUGCAACUUGUCGGUUUUAAGUUGUAGAUACGAGUGACAUGUCAUUUUAGCUGAACUAGAUUCCAGAGCUCACAUUUGGGCAGUGUCAUCCAAGAACAUUAAAACUCACGUGACUAUUGCACGCAUGGUUUAAGCUGAAAUGACGUUGCUAGCAGUCGUUUAAGGAAGGCCUUUAAGUGUCACAUGAGUUGCUCGUGAUAGGAGGUUAAAAGCUGUUGGUUUUGGAGGGAAACCCCUGAAGCUGUUACGCCUGCAUCUUCUGGUAUAUAAACGAGCUGGUUCUGGUGUCAUAGUCAGUAAUCAAGGAAAGAGAGAUAAAGCAUCUGUACUGAGAGAAAAUCUUGACAGGGUGGUCUCUGUAUUGUGUAUAAUUUCUCUAUAACCUUGGAAGCUUAAUAAAACUGCUCUCUGUGUUGGUUUUCUCCAGUGGAUGUAGGCACCCUUCAACAGGUGCUGAACCACUUAAGCUCGGUGUGUUCUUUGUCUUUGGGUUAUGAUCUUUGAUCUGUGCAUUGUUCUUUGUUAACGUAAGAUUAGUUCUUGAAUCUUUGAGUCAGAGUUGGGUCUUGGGGUAAGGUUAAUCUAGUAACUAAAGGUUAAUUUCACAACAAUUGGUAUCAGAGCUCUAAACUCUGAUUUCAAGGUUCAAGAAUGGGUUCAAAAGUGGAUCUUGAGAAGUUUACGGGGCAGAAUGAUUUCAAUAUGUGGAAGAUCAAGAUGGAGGCUUUGUUGAUUACUCAAGAGCUGGGAGAAGCCAUAGAUCCAGUCACUAAGAUUGAAGAAGGUGAGGCUUCAUCAUCUAAGAUCCCAGAACAGGUAGCAGAGAUAGACAAGAAAGCCAGGAGCACAAUCAUACUAAGUCUUGGUGACUCUGUAAUUCGAGAAGUGGCCAAGGAAAGGACUGUUGCUGGUUUAUGGGCUAAGUUGGAGAACUUGUAUAUGACAAAGUCUUUGGCAAAUAGACUUUACAUUAAGAAGAAGAUGUUCUCACUGAAGAUGAUUGAAGGGGCAUCAUUAACAGAACAUGUUGAUGAAUUCAAUAAGGUUUGUGAUGAACUGGAGACUAUAGAUGAAGGGCUGAGUGAUGAGAGCAAAGCCUUGCUACUAAUCAGCUCUUUACCAAAGUCUUACGAGCACUUUGUGGAUGCACUGCUGUAUGAGAGGCAAACACUCUCCCUAGAAGAGGUUAAAUCUGCUCUUGGCACAAAGAAGCUGAAAGAUAAGCAAGAUAAUCCAGAAAGUGAAUCAAGUGAGGGAUUGAUGGCAAGAGGCAGGUCUGAGAAAAGAGAUAACAAUGAAAAAAGCAAGGCAGAUCAAAGUCUAAACAAAAGAAUUUGAAGUGUUUUCAUUGCCAUAAAGAAGGGCAUUUCAAGAGAGAUUGCCCUGAAAGAAAGAACAAGAAUAAAGAAACCAAAGAAAGAACAGGUAAUGCAGCCAUAGCCACAGAAGAAGAAUGUAACUUUGAAACAGCCGGAGUACUCAUUGCCACAAGUCAGAAACCUCAAGGUCAGUGGGUCCUUAACUCAGGUUGUACCUUUCAUAUGUGUCCAAAUAGGAGUUAUUUUACAACAUAUCAGCCAUGUGAUGGGGGUAUGGUUCUAAUGGGUAAUAACUCAAUGUGUAAGGUAGCUGGUAUUGGGACUGUUAGCCUUAGGAUGUUUGAUGGGGUGAUAAGGGAAUUGACACAAGUGAGAUUUGUCCCUGAUCUAAAAAGGAACUUAAUCUCAAUUGGCAUGCUAGAUCAAACAGGUUGUGUAAUUAAGGCUGAGAAAUGUGUAUUGAGGGUAAUUAAAGGAUCAAUGGUGAUCAUGAAAGGCAUAAAACAAAAUGGUCUAUAUGUGAUGGAUGGACAUACUGUUGUUGGGGAGGCAAGUGUGACUGACAGUAAAUGGAACAGAUCAAUGAUGUGGCAUUUAAGGAUGGGGCAUAUGAGUGAAAGAGGUUUGAGAGAGUUACAAAAACAAGGAGUGUUUGGGGAUGAUCAAAUAGGAGCUUUGGGGUUCUGUGAGGAUUGUAUUCUAGGAAAAUCCUCCAGGUUAAGGUUUGAGAUUGCAGCUCAUACCACCAAAGAGAAGCUUGAAUACAUACACUCUGAUUUGUGGGGGCCUGUACAAGUAAACUCACUAGGUGGAUGUAGAUAUUUUCUGACUUUUAUAGAUGAUUUUUCAAGGAUGGUUUGGGUCUUUGCACUCAAAAGCAAAGAUGAGGUUCUGGAAAAAUUCAAAAACUGGAAAACUUUUGUUGAGAACCAGACUGGUCUGAAGGUGAAAACUCUGAGGACAGACAAUGGCUUGGAGUAUUGCAACAAGCUGUUUGAAGAAUUCUGUGAAAAGAAUGGUAUUCAGAGGCACAAAACUGUCACCUACACCCCUUAACAGAAUGGCCUUGCUGAGAGGAUGAAUAGGACUCUGGUGGAGAAGGUGAGAUGCAUGUUAAUCUAUUCUAAGCUCCCAAAAACCCUUUGGGCAGAAGCUUUAAACACAGCAUGCUAUCUAGUCAACAGGAGCCCAUCAACUGCUAUAGAUUGUAAAACACCAAUGGAGCUUUGGUCAGGAAGAAGGGCUGACUAUACAAAACUCUGAAUCUUUGGGUGCACAACAUAUGCUCAUGUGAAGUAGGGUAAGCUGGAACCAAGGGCAUUAAAAUGCAGAUUUCUGGGGUAUCCGGAUGGGGUCAAGGGCUAUAGAUUAUAGUGUGUUGACACAAAACCACCACAGUGCAUCAUAAGCAGGGAUGUAAAAUUCCAUGAAGAAGAGCUAUUGAAUAAACCAAAGAGCUCAGAUAACAAUAUGGAAUCAAGCACUGAGACUGAUAUAGUGAAGUUUCAGGUGGAGCCUCAAAACUUGAAAGAACUUGAGCCUGAAAUUGAAGGUACUGAAGCAGAACCUGAAGCUGGUGUUGAACAUGAAUCAGCUGAAAGUGAAGAGAACACCUAUCAGUUGGCUAGAGACAGAAAGAAAAGGACAAUAAAGCCACCUAAAAGAUAUGCAGUAGUUGACUUGAUUGCAUAUGCUUUGAAUGUUGCUCAAGAGCUGAAUGAUGAUGAACCUAGGACCUAUCAAGAAGCUAUCACAGGCAAAAACAAGCUGGAAUGGAAGAGGGCAAUGGAUGAAGAGAUGACAUCCCUGAUUAAAAACAAGACCUGGACAUUGAUUGAAAAACCAGACAAGAGGAAAACAGCAAGCUGCAAAUGGAUCUUCAAAAUUAAAAAUGGUGUACCUGGAGCUGAACCUAGAAGAUUUAAAGCUAGAUUGGUGGCAAGGGGUUUUACACAGAAGGAGGGAAUUGACUUCACUGAAGUAUUUUCUCCUGUGGUGAGACAUGCUUCCAUCAGAGUUAUUCUUGCACUUGUGGCUGUGCAAGAUAUGCAUCUUGAGCAGAUGGAUGUAAAAACAACAUUUCUGCAUGGUGAGUUACAAAAAGAAAUUGUAAUGCAGCAGCCUGAAGGAUAUGUAGCAUCUGGAAAAGAAGACUAUGUUUGCUUACUUAAGAAGUCUCUGUAUGGGUUGAAGCAGUCACAUAGGCAAUGGUAUCUGAGUUUCAGAUAUUUUUGACAUGUCGGUUUAUAACCUUGAUUGUGCAUGCCCUGUCGGUUGCGUGAUGAAACAGGAGAAUAUUGACAUCUGUGUAUUAUCGUUUACUUCCUGCAAUUAAAUCACAUGUUGUUCAUUCCAUUUACACUAUACGGCACAUUUGGCAGUUGUUUUGGUCACUUAUUGAAGCACGGGUUAAGUACUUGAUUCAAGGUUGUUAACUGACCUUUACAAGGCGGGAAAAUUCUGGGUUUGUUAUAACAAACCCCGGAAUGCAGCUAGUGAGUGGGGACUUUUCUAGACUCUUCAUGAUAUGUAUAUAUAGUCUUAGAGGCUAUAGUUGAGACAUAUGAAAAGCUUCUUAAUGUUUGUAGUUUGAUCUCGGUGAUGGAGAUAAGAUUGCUGCCCUGUUCUUCAGUGGAUAUAGGCUAUCUCCAAGCCGAACCACUUAAAUUGUGCCUCUGUUUUGCUUGAUGACUACCAGUGGUGAGAAAACACCUACAGAACAAAUCAAGCUUGAUGACUCAAAUAUUAGGGAAGCCAUAGUCAAGGUAUCUGGUUUAUGCAUCAACAGUGGUUCGUGGACUAGAAUUCCUAUCUAUUGUCGCUUCACAAUUGCACUGGAAGAAAGCGAAUUUGAUCGAGCUUUGGAUCGCAUAGCUAAAUUCAAAAGCAUCGUACAAAUAGUUAACUAAAAGACGGUAUUGUCAUUUGUCAUGAUUUAUUUCUAUUGCCUGAUGAUGAUACCCAUCACGCCUUAGUUGUCGUGAAUAAAUCUAAAAUCAAAUUGAACUGGUUUUUACUGGUUAGCAACAAUUGUGACGUUUUGAGAUUAUAAUAUAUGACAACACUGAUUAGUGUUGUCUCCCAUGUGAAUUGAGACAAAAAUUAUUUUCCCAAUUGCGCUUUCAUUUGAACAAUUCCACUGUAGAUUUAUAAAAUAAUGAUCAAAUUGUGUUUUAUAUUAAGUUACGAGUAAUUGGUUAAACAUUAAUACAAAACUAUUUUAAGUAACAUGUGGCAUAUUCUAAUUCUAGCCAAGCUUCCAACUAAGAUUCCCAAAUCAAAAGAAUUUCAAUCUUCAGAACAUUCUGCAAAACGUUUAGUCUCUACGCAGUGCUAGAAUUUUCCCUAAGUUUCUAUUGCAAAGACUUCUAAAGAACUAUUCAGAUAUCGAGCUAUAAUCCAGUCUAAAGUGCAUAUAUCUCUCUAAUUCACCUCCCUCCAUUUCACCAGAAAAUCAAUAAACACUUAGCUUCAAACAAACACUCUCAAAAAGCUAGCUAGCUAUCCAGAUGGAAAAACCAAGAAUUCUUGCAAUGACAAUGUUGUUUCUUGUUAUGGCAGCAACAUUGAUAAACAUGGCAUCACAAGCAAUAGCUCUGAUGCCGUACACACAAUCACCUUUCUUUGACAUGAUGUUCCCAAUGACGGAAGAGCCUUUCAGGGUUCUUGAACAAACCCCUUUAACAAUCGCAAAAGGAGCUGAUCAUCAUCAAACUCUAGCCCUGGCGAGAGCAGACUGGAUGGAGACACCAACAGCCCACGUGAUCACGCUCGACAUUCCAGGGAUGAAGAAAGAUAAUAUGAAGAUUGAAGUUGAAGAGAACAGAGUACUGAGAGUGAGUGGGGAGAGGAAGAGUAAUGAUUAUUAUAAGGAGGGAGUUGAAGGAGAGAAAUGGCACAAAGCUGAGAGGACAUUUGGCAAGUUUUGGAGGCAGUUUAGGAUGCCAAUGAGUGUUGACUUGGAACAUGUUAAGGCUCACAUGAAAAAUGGGAUUCUGAGGGUCACAGUGCCAAAGCUUGCUGAGGAGAAGAAGAGGCAGCCUAAGGUUAUUAACAUUGAUGAAGAGUCUGGUAAUUCUUCCAAUGAAGAUAUUAAGGCUACCAAGGCUCAAAUGUAAUUAAUUAAAGAAAGAAGUGAUUGCUUUGCUUGAUGUGCUAUUUGUUUAUGAUCUUUUUUUGGUUUUGUUCCGAGAUGUUUCUAUUUGGAUGCUCUAUUUAAUGUAUGUUGAUGGGUUUUUGAGGAAGGCUUGUAUGUAUUGACAACCAUAAAAUACUUUUUAUAAAUCCUAGUCCUACAACACUAAAAGAAAACAAUACGUUUGGUUUAUAGUUAAUAAAAAUAUAUUUUUUUAAAAAAUUCUUUUUCUUUGGCAUAUAGUAUGCGUUUUGAGGGGAAAAAAAUUUAUCCCACUCCUAAUUUGUCAUCUGUGAUAUUAAUGUGUUAGCACGAAGAUUCAUUGUAAUUGCAACAAUUUUGAUGAAUCCAAACGUUCAAUAACUGUUAAAUUGUAUUUUAUAAAUACUAAUAGCGAAGGUACAGAAACGAUUAAUCCAAGAAGUUGCUUAAAGUGCAUUAAAUUAGGGAGUAUAAAUAAUUGUGUGAUACAGUCCAGCCUUUAUCUGCUUAUAAUUAGCAACCAAAAACCAUUUGCAACGCCAUUAAAAAAACAUUUUAACAUUAUUGCUGAGGGAAGAGGCAGCUUAGGCUUAUUAACUCGUAUUAUUAAUGCUGAUGACGCAGCUGGUAAUCCUUUUGGUGAAUAUAAUAAGGUAGCUGAAGCUUAUAAUUAUUUAAGCCCACUAAAGCUUAAAACUAAUUCUUCUAGUGACGAUGCUUUGCUUAGUUUGCUUUUUGUUUUUAAUUUUUUUGGGGCUAACAUUUUGCUUAUUUUGCUUUUAAAAUUCUAUUCGCGUUGCUGUGAAAUAUUGUUUGUCCUUCCAUUUUCUGUUUUUGUUGUUAUCGGAUUUGAUGAUGGUUUAUAUGUACGAAGAUUAUGUAAUAAAGUCUUUUUCUUUGGCCUUUAUUAUGCAUUUUAAUACGAAAAAAAAUUAUCCCACUCCAAUUCAUGAAGAUAUUCUCAUUUCUGUCAUAUUGAUGUGUUAAUAUAAAGAUCCAUUGCAGUUGGUGAAUUCAAAUAUUCAGUAACUGAUGAAAUUGUAUUUAUAAAUUCAUAGUAAUAGCAAUUGAAGAUUAUAAUUAAUUUUGUAAUAUGGUCAAGCCCUCGUGUGUUUAAUUAGCACUCAAAAACCACUUUACAAUAGUCAUUAAAAGAACAUUAUAACGUCAUUACUGAUGAGUUCUGGUGAAGAUAUUAAGUUAAGGCCACAAAAAUCGAAAUGUACGUGGCUUCGUUUGUUUUUUGUUUUGAUUUUUUUUGGGGGCAAAUGCUUGGCUUCGUUUUUGAUAUUUUAUUGGCUUUAUUGUGUGGCAUGUUCUUGUUUUCUUUUGAUUUUCUGUUUUUGUUUGUUAUGGGAUUUGAUGACGAUGUACAUGUACGAAGAUUAUGUAAUAAAAUGCUUUUGAUAAAUUGUGGUCGGUUUAGUAUUAAUUAACCAAAUUUAAUUUACUUGAUCAAUUGAUAUUUGUUAGUAUUGUUGUUAUACAAGCACAACAAAAGAAGAACACUAACGUACUAAUUAAUUACUAAUAAGAACAUUAACAAUUUUUGCCGAAGUCUGAUGAAGAGAAAUAUUACACAUACGUAACGGUACCGCGGAAGGAAAAAAUAAAAGAAACUGAAGUUUAUUUCAACAGCUACUCUUUCUUUACCUAAAUCCUGCACCUCUCAUACUACCAACAAGAUCGAAAACCUUAUCGAAUACUCCUACAUCCCAGACUCUGCCCAAAUCAGUGAAUCCACAUACCUCCAAUACAGUACCCCGUUGCUAAAAUAAAGCGAGCGUCUUACUCUACCUAACAUUUUUCUUUUUAUUAAUUUAAAACAGUUUUCAACUGAGAUUGGAAUUUUAAAAUUACGUACACAAACAUACCUGAUUUUAAAGAAAAAAAAUUCUAAUAAUAAAAUAUUUUACAUAUGUAACCAUACGGCGGAAGAACAAAUAUAAGAAACUGAAGUUUCAACAGCUGAGAAUGAGAUAAGCAUAAGAAAUUAAUUCAUUAAUUAAUUAAUAGAGUCCUCCUCCUUUGCUAAAUAAUGCGAGCCCAUUGUUCUUUUUAUUUCGAAAACCCAUUAAUCACCAACACAUAAUAUACGCCCAAUUUAAAAAAAAGAAACUAAUAAUAAAAUAUUUCAGUCCCUCUGUUGAGUCGUCCUCUGUGGAGUCGUCAUCAAAAACCCAUUUACUAGCUAUUUCAACAUAAGGUAAAUGGGUUAACAAGGCCCAAUAUUGUCCUCCAUCCUCUCUGCACUUCUCUUCUAUCAACGGACAAUCAUAGAUACUUAAUUUCAAAAGUGAGGAAGGCAGGCCCUUCUCCGGAAAGUAUUUGAGCUUGGGACAAUUCUUGAGAUACAAUGAAGUGAGGUUUUGAAGAUCAACAAUUGAAGAAGAUAGGCGUUCCAAAUUUGGAAAAUUGUAAAUCUCCAGAGACGUUAGAGAGGCAAGAAGAGGAAGCGCAGCCCCUAAUCUUUUGUCCUCUAGUGGAAUUGACACCAUGUCGUCAUCGCAUUCGCUGAUUUUAAAAUGUCGCAGAGAGGAGAAUCUGUGAAAUCCCCGGCCCCGCUCAAUCAUUGACUUCCAAAUCUCCAUAUUACCCCUGAUAUCAAGUGAAUGAAGGUUGGUGGGAAGGCCAUCUUCUUCAAGGCUUGGAAGCUCAACUCCUCUUCCUAUUGUUAAUUCUUGAAGAGAGGUCAGAUUGUGCAAUCCCUUGGGUAAGGCCUCUAGUCCCUUGCACCAACUGAUAUUGAACUUUAUUAGUUUCGCACAAGGCAAUCCCCCUUCGGGAAAGGACACCAGAUUUUUACAUUCCCAUAUUUCGAUCUCUUGAAGCUGGCGGAGAUUAUGUAAACCACUCGGUAAAAUCUUUAGAUUUUUACAAAAAUCAAUUCUGAUUAUUUCAAGCGAUGUGUUGUUGUCCAACCUUUCUGCUAUUGACUCCAGCUUUGAACAACUAAGAACUUCAAGGGACUUAAGAGACGGAGGUAGAUUGCCAACUUCAAGGGACUCAAGCGUGGCAGGUAACUCGUUUUUUGAAAAUAUACAUGUCAGAGAUGGACAUUCGCUAAUAUGCAAGCCCUCGAGAAGAGAUGAGGUGUACCUUCUGCUGCUGCUGCUGCUGCUACUCUGGAUGCCCUCUUCCACUGUCAAAGUCCUUAGAUUAUCACAAUUAUGGAUGUACAACAUCUUAAGGCUCGGUGGUAGCUGGACUCCAGCAAUAUAUGUCAACGAACGGCAACUCAAAAUCUCCAAGAUCUCGAGAGAUGAAUUGGUGUCGCACAUCCAUGCCUCUGGUAACAAUUUCAGUGCAUCACAAGAACUAAUAUGAAUUGUCUUCAACUUGGAAGGCAGAGCAACCUCAGGAAAGGAAACAAGGGAACUGCAUUGGUAGAUUUCUAUCUCUCUCAAGGAGCUAAGGCUGAGCGAUGAUUGUGGCAGCUUCACAAGGUCUUGGCAAUCUCUCAAUUCUAUAUAUUCGAGUCUGCAUGACAACUCGCAGAGCUGCUGUUGUUGGUCUUUCUCUUCCUCCGCCACCAAGGAUUGAAGUUUGGGACAGCUGCCAAUCGUCAAUCUUUUGAGAGAGCAAAUGUCUUGUAGUAAUCCAUCAUGACUCUUCCAUAUAUAUGUUUGCUCUUUUGUCGACAAAAUUAAUUCUUCCAAUUUCUGUAGUUGUGGUUUCAAUGGCCCCACAAGAAACACUUGAUUUGAUGCAUCUCUACAAACCACUGAAUUCUGUGAUCCGAGAUGACCAGUUGCACUUUCCCACACAACCUUUUUGCAUCCACCAAUUUCCAAUUUGCAAAGAGCUGGAAGACUCGAAACUGAAACUAACAAUUCUUCACAUCCUUCAAUAACAAGCAUCUCCAAUGCAGGAAGGUGCUCUGGAAAUGUUCCUUUCAGUUUAGAACAUUUUAAAAUGUGAAGUUCUCUCAAUUUAGGAAACCCUUCAACUCCUUGACUGGAUCCAUGAGGAAUCCAAUCUUCCCAUUCUUGCAUGUUUUCAAAAAGAAGAGUCUUCAAGCAUGGAAAUGGAAUUGGAGAAACAUUCCCAUAGAACUCUGAACCCAACCUCUUUACUCUGCUCAUUCCACAUACUACAAGAUGCUUUAAAGAGGGUAGUUGCCCGACUGACGGCAGGGCAGUACACAUGUCACAAUUUUUAAAUUUUAGGGUCACCAAAUUUGAGAAUGAGGAAUCUCCCAACCAAGUUGGAAAUUUCAUACCUCCAUAGCCUUUGAUACAAAAUUGCUCCAGAUUUGUAUGAGGUUUCAGCAUGUCAAGCAUGCCCAUUUCAGUUUCUGCCUCCCUUGAAGAAGAACCAUCGGUACUGCAAGUCCAUUUAAGCGAUAAUUCUUUCAGAUUCUUCUUUCCAUCCAUUUGAGCUACCAUGGCAUCACCAACGCAUUUUGCAUUCUCCAAUUUUGAAAUGUUAAGUGUCCCAUGAAGGUGCGUCAACAACUUUAGCUCUCGUAACCCGGAACCACUGCCUUUUCCCACAACAAAAUUACACAACGUCUGAAGACUAGUCAACCUACCAAUUCCUAGUGGCAUUUCCUCCAACGACUUCGUAUUUGAAUUCUUAAGAUGAUGCAAUUUGGCGAGGUUUCCCAUGUCUGCACACAACUUCUUCAGCCGAUCACAAUCUUCCAACAAAAGGCUAUGCAAAUUGUAAAGCUUGUUGACUGAGUCAGGCAGAGUUCUAAUCUCAGUUCCAGACAGGUUAAGGUACCUUAAAUACCUCAAAUCACCAACUGAAUCCGGUAGCUCGAAGAUGUGGUAUCCACGCAGAGAGAACGCCCUCAAGCGUUGGGGUUUGAGCAACUUAGGAAGAAUGCUAGGAGCCAAGUAGCCAGGCCCACUAUUUGUCAACAUUACUGGUAAAAAAGUUCUCAAAUGUUGGAUAUCAUACAAGUCCCCGAACCUUUGAACGCCAUCAUAAUCUCCACGAAUGUAUGAUAGGUGACGAAGAUUUCUGGAAAAACAUUGUUGCUUGUUAACCUCCGAGGUAUACUCCAGUGUGAAGUAUGUCUCCCCUGCAGCCCAACGGGCAAGGUCGUUGAUAAGAUCGUGCAUAACAAAUAGUGAUGCAUCGGUGGCCGAUUGCUGCAAAAAAGAUCUUGAACGUAGCUCCUUAAAGAAAUCACGACCUAAAUCUUCACUAGGAUUCUCAUCUUCUUUGUGAUCCAAAAAACCGGAGGCACACCAUAAUAAAAUUAUCUCCUCCUCUUCAAAUUCAUAAUCCUUUGGAAACAAUGAGCAGUAUGCAAAGCAUUGUUUCAAAGUUGGAGGAAGAUAAUAAUAGCUCACUGCAAGGGCUGGUAUAAUGCCACACCUCUUUUCUGAUAAUUCCCAUAUCUUGCUACAGAGCACACGUUCCCACUCACGUCUGUCAUGUUUUCCACGUAAAAGUCCUCCAAGUGUUUGUGCUGCCAAGGGCAAGCCAUCGCAUUUGGUCACUAUCUUCUUGCCGAUUUCCUCCAAUAACUUAUGUGACCCCAAAGAAUGUUGAGCGAAUACAGCCAGACAAUCAUUAUCUGACAACUUUUUUAAUUGAUAAGAUGGAACAGUACCCAUGAUUUCUGCAACCUCUUGAUUGCGAGUAGUGACAAUAAUUUUACUUCCUGGUGCACCAACUUCAAAUGGACGUCUGAGUUGAACCCAAUCAUCGUAAUUCCGGUUCCACACGUCAUCCAAAACAAGCAAAAAUUUCUUUCCAGACAGUUGCUUACUCAGUUCCUUUUGAAGUGAAUUCAAGCUGGGAUCACCCACGUUCUGGCUAGCAACAAUGGAUGUUAAGAUUGUUUUUGUUAGCCUCUUAACGUCGAAAUCAUCAGAGACACAAGUCCAUGCCUUGAGAUCAAAAUGAUCCUGCACUUGCUUAUCAUUGUAGACAAGCUGAGCAAGAGUGGUUUUGCCCAGCCCGCCCAUACCUAUAAUAGGAAUAACAGAGAAUCCACCAUCGUUGCUUAAAUCAUCCCUCAACAGCAGUUCAACAACAUCCUUCUUUUCUGUUUCCCUGCCAUAUACUUUGGCUUCAUCCACCAAAGAGGUUGUCUCUGGCCUUUGACUGGCUUUUUUGGAUCCCCCAGCUGAACUUUCUUUCAAAUCUAGCAAGUUUUUCUUUGUCACAAUUUCUUGAAAUCUGCUGUCGAUCUCUUUGAUUUUGGACAUCAAGUCAUAAUCGAACUGAGUCGAUUGUGGAGUAAAAAUGGUGAAGCAAGUAUGAAUGAACUUCCGAAGCUUACUUGGUCUCGUAUGACUGCUACUGGGUUGAUCAUGAGCAGCAGCUGGUUCUCCAUUUCCAAGCGGCAACCUCCUCCGGAAAGCCUCGGUUUGAAACUCAUCCAACAAGUCUUCAACAUCAUAAGCCAAGUUCUGAAGCUCGCCAAGCCACAAAUUCACAGACGGAGCCGUCCUCCUCUUCUCCUCAGCAUCAUCAAGCACUGCCUUGAUCAUCUCCAACAUAUUCGCCCACCUCAUCAGAUCGGCCUCGAUCUCCUUUUGGCGUGCAAAAAACAGAACCCCCUCUGAAGCUAACUUAUUGACCAGCAAAUCAACGGACGCCGUAAGGAUUGCCUCUCCGAUCAUUGACAUUUUUUUUUCCUUUUUUGGGGCAAAGGAAGAAAGGAGCAGAAUUAUGCGUUAUGGAAAGCAGAAUGAGAAAUUUGAACGGGUGAGAAAAUGGAUAAUUAAGCAGAAUGAGUUUGUGAUUGUGAAGGGUCUGGCCCAACAAGCUUAGUAGAAAUCACGCGUUUAUACUUUAUUGACCAAUGACUAAUAAUUUGCCAAUUCACUCAUCACCACCACUUGGUGAGCAAAAUGAAAAUGCUUAGUAAUUAAACGUGGCAAGUCUCCCCACUUGUUGUUCCUUGCAGCUAAGAAAAGAAAAAACAGAGCCGUAAUUAAUGACAGAAUUUUAAAAAUAAUAAUAAGAGAAAAACCUACACAUUUUCGACUUAGAGUGGAACCGUAAUUAAUGCUAAAAUUUACUCAGCUAAAAUUUUCAAAAUAUUGUUCUUUAUAAUUUUCAAAACCGUAAUUAAGGUUCAUCUCAAAUGUUUGAAGAGACUCUAUCAAUUCUUCUGCGCUAAGAAUAUUAAAAUUCUUAUUUUUUCUUCAAACGUUGAAUAAUGAAAAAAAAUGUUAAAUAUGGAGAAAAAUAGAAUGCAUCCAUCUUUGCUGUAGAAGUCUUCUACUUAUAAAAGCAAGUUAGAAUAAACGAUUUUAAUCUCUCUUUUUAUUCCUGUAAGUGCACUACAUUUUUUUUGUUUUAAUCUCAAUGUGAAGUCGUAUCAUAAUGUUAUGUUAAUGUUAUAUUCUUGUUGGAAAAUGAAAUUUUAGAUAAAACAAAUUCGACUCAUUUGUUGAAGGUAUAUAUUUAGUAGGUUGCUAACAUAAAGUAAAUGAACUAAAAGACAAUACUACCAGCGAUAAUUUAGCAAGUUUCGCAUGCUCGUCUUUCUUGAAAUAUUAUAUGGGAAUGGGAUCAAACAACAGUGAUACAAAGAGAAAAAUGGUAAUCCUCUGAUUGUAUUUUUUUUUUCUUUUUCAAAAGAGAUGGUGGGGUUGGGUUGUUUGCAAAGUUAUUAGUGUGGGUCUAUUUAAAAUGUUAAGAAAUUUUAUGUCCUUUUUUCAAAGUGAAUUUCCAUUUUUCAUUUCUCAUUAAGUAAAACCCACAGCAAAAUUAAAAAGAAAAAACAGAGCCCACUAUAAAUAUAAAAUCGAAGGAGCUCAUAAUUAUACCUUUGCUUUACAUACUAAAUUAAAUAAAAGCCGAACCAAGAAUCUUGCCUUUACUUAACAUGAUUAAUUAGACACUACUUCAGAGAGAAUACGAAAGCAAAGAACCCUUUUGUUAAUCUUAAAUGUUAGGAAAAUAAUUAGCUUGGAAUAAAGCUGCGUUAUUCUCCUCUUACCGUCUCUUCAGGUUCAUUUCAAAAGUUUGAAGAGAUUUUAUCAAUUCUUCUUAUAAAGGCAAGCUAAAUUAAAAGAUUUUAAUCUCUCUUCUUAUUACUAUAAGUGCACUGCUUUUUUUUUAUAAUCAACAAUGUCAAUUUGUAGUGUAAUAUUAUAUUCAUAUUCCUGUUGCGUCGAAAUAAGGUAAAAUGAAAUUUUAAAUCACACAAAUUCGACUCGUUUGUUAAAGGUAUAUAUUUAAUAAGCUAAUAACAUAAUUAACAUAACGCUAUUAUUACACUAAAUGAAAUAAAAGACGGUACCCUCCACCAAUAAUUACAUUAGCAAGCUUCGCAUGCUCGUGUUUCAGGACCUAGACAUUGGCGAAUUAAUCUAGGAUAACGAAACAAUUUCAAAAAGCAAAAUGGAUACUAUACAUUUUCUUUUUUUAAUUGUACAGAAAACGGGACUAAUUUUCAAAUAUUUUUAAAUUCACUUAUUUACAAAAGCUAUACAAAAUGAUUUCCUUUUUAUUUUUGAUGAGCAUAAUUUACAUACAUAUUUUACUAUUUAUUAUAUAAUUACUAGUUAUUUUUAUUUGUUAUUUUAAUUAAUUGAAUUAUUUUAUUUCAUAGGAAAUUAAUUGGAGAUUAUGGAUGAAAAGUGCGUAAAGAAUAACAAUUUGACAGCAUUGAAGAUCAAAUCAAUUUGCGGAAGGAAUUAAGCAAAUGUGCAAGAAAUUCUAUUCGAAGAAACCGAAGCCAAUAAAUUGAAUAUCCAUACUCGUGCAAACAAAGAAGAAGUUUAAAACUAAAGUGGGCAGCACAUUAAAAAAAGCUUUUAAUUAAGUCUUUGAAUGGAAAGUCAAAAUAGAAUAAAGGAAGGAAAUCAAUAGCUUUUGGCUUUUAUUGUUUUCAAUUACGUGGCAGGCUUAGAGCUUUAGCUUGUAAGAGUUGGUUUGGUUAUUAUCACAAUAGGAUUUGGUGGCCAAGCAAUAUAAAAGGGAGUUUUGCUUUUGAAUUAAAGGCUGGACGGAAACAAAAGGGAGGAGAAUUCGGCUUUGAACAGAGAGCAGCGGCAACGGCAAUAUUUCGGCUUCCAUGGCUGAAUUUAUUUCUUUUGUUGCUCACAAUUUAAGUAUGUCUAGCUAAUUUUCUUAUACUGAGGUUAAGGAUGAAACCCUAUUCAAUGAAAUAAUUAUCUUUUUAUUUAUUUAAUUCCCUAUAUAUGUGCUUUAAUGUUUAUGGUUUUUAUUUCACAUGAUUAAUUGGACGUUAUUAAAAUCUUUUCAUCAAUUCUGUCAUGCAUUAUUAAUUGUUAGGAUUAAUAUUCAAUUAAUUCUAUACUUGGAUCUAUAAAGUUUAUACAUGAUUAUCUUUGAUUUUAUGUCUUUCAUUAAAUUAUUUACAUAGAGUGCUUAGGAAAACUUUGACUCUUUGUUAUUUAAUAUGUUUACAUGAGAUGCUUACAUGUCAUACUAUUAAGUAGAAAAAGAACCUACAUUACAUUUAAUUUUAAUUGGGCUUAAUUGUUAUAUUUAUGAGAUGACAUAGAUUGAUUUUGAGUUGUCACUCUAAAAUUAGGGAUUCAUUAAUAUUUGGAUAAUUACAAAUUAAAUAGUGGUGGAUUCCGAAACCUUGAUAAUUUUUAUUUUAUUGAUUUCUCAUUUGCUUUAAUUGUUUUCUUAGUUUAAUAAGUUUAAUUUCUUUUAAAAAUUCAAAUUACUCAACUAAGUUAGGAUUAAUAUUAAUUUUAGAUUUAAAUUAGACUUUUCAAUUUAUAACAAUCCAUGUGGGAUUGACCUCGUUACUACUAUUCUAUUUCUAGAUUCAUGCGCUUGUAAGUAUAUUAAAACUUUCACAACAAUUUUGAAAGGAAUCAAAUAACAGUGAUACAAAGAGCGCAAAGUUGCAAUUCUCUUAUUAUAUUUUUUCUCUUUUUUAAAAGGAGAUAGUGGGGUUUGGUUGGUUGCUAAAUUAUUGGUGUGAGGGUCUAUUUGUUUUUGUUUUCACUUUAUUAAUUAUACCAAGCAAACAUGUAAUCAUUUGUAAAGGGGUCACUAGCAUUGGAUUAUGUAAGAUGAAUUCAUAAGACUUAUUAAUUUCGAUGAAAAUGUAGCGUUAUUAAGUUGUCAAUUCAUUAACUUGAGGUACUAAUAUUUACUAAUUGUGGUGAUUAAUUUAUUUAACUUGUCAUAAUUUUCAAUUGAGAAUGAAGUUCAAUCAAUGUAUGAAAAAAAUAAUUUUUUUAGAUUUUUAAUUCCUAUGAUUUAAUUUCCCCCUGUUUCGAUUAUUGACGUGUUAAAAGCUUGUAGAAUAUCAUGAAAUGCUUGUAUCUCACCUCGCAAAUUGACAAAUAUUGGUUGGUUUCUCCAAAGGCUACCAUAAUGAAUUGAAAGUAAAAACAACAACCAUUGAAAAUUAAUUUUAAAAUCAUUUUUACUUGAAAUUUUUUAAAAGAAAAAUUAAGCAAAUUAGAUUACAGAUAUCAAUCUUAAUAUUUUGUUGAUGAAAAUUAAUUAAUUUAUCUCAGUACUUUCUUAAUUUUGUGUUGUGCACCGCAUUGGUCACUUCUGAUUGUGUUGCAUAUUUGUUAAUUCAAAGAAAUAGAACUUCUUUAUCGAUCAAACUUAUUUUAUUAGUAUUCUUCAUCAUAUGGUUAAUGGCUUAGCCAAUGAAGGAGAAGGGGUCAGCCAAAACAAAUAAAGUACUUUCUCAUGCAUUAACCUUUAUUAAAAAGCUUUAUUAACUGUUGUAGUUAAAAUAAUUUUAAAACAAGUUAAAACAGUUCCAACUCAAAAUCAGUAGGCUGCAAUUGGGUUGUUACACAUAUUUCUAAAUUUCAGUCUAAUUUAAUUGUGUAUGGACAAACUAACUUUAUCACUUCUUUCAUAUUAAUACUCAUAAAUUUCAACCUUUUUUUAUGAUGAUGGACAAUCUAACUUAACAAAAAUAAUGUUCAAAUUAUCACAAAAUGUUCUUUUCUUAAAAAAGAAAAGAAAAUCAUAUAUAGUAGUUAAUUUUUCUUCUUCUGUACUCCAAGAUCCAACUCCGUACUCCACUUGUUCGUUGUUAUUAUACCCAGCCAUUAGAUUUUAAUUACGUUGAUUUAACGGUUUGGAUUCGUAAAUGAAUAACGACGUAAAGUUUGGCUACCAUCUGAACCCACCGCAUCUAAUUGGUUUUGUGAUUUUUUGCUUUCUUCACUGCAACGCUUGACUAGUUCUGGAAAUAUCGACCGCCAUCAACGGCAAAUCUGAACCAUGUAUUAUUUGCGAAUACAUUCAUUAAACUAUUAAACAUUCAGAGAAGAAAGCAAACCGUGGCAGUAUAACAAAAACUGCGAAUGGUCAUUCCCAACACGAACCCCUAUGGUUGUUUUCCUUUUAAUUUUCUUCUUUGAAUUCUCCUUUUAUUAAUCAUUAGAAAAACUCCAUUUUUUUUGUUUUAAAUCAUGUGUUAUUAACAUUUACAUGGUUAAUGUCAUCGAAAUCGAAUGGUUGUUAUCUACGAAAAGAGAAUUGCUAGAAAUUUUGUUAGUCCCAUUGCAACAAUAUAUUGUUAUAAAUUGCAUUGUUUUCCAUAUAACAAAUAUAAUAAAAUCUCAAUAAAUUAAUAGUUUUUGGGACCAUAAAAAAAUUAUUAAAAUUAAACAAAUAUCAAUUAAUCAGUAAAUUAAUAAAUUAUUAAUUUAUGAAAAUAUUCAUUAUUUUGGAAAAACAUGAUCACGCUUUUAAUAUUGAUUUACCUUGAGUUAGUAUCUAUUAGGUUUUAUUUGUCUAUUAGUUUUCUCUUGGGAAGAUUUUUUAAGAGUUAGCUGCUUUAUAUUAACAGUAAUAAAAUUAUUAUUUAACGGUUUUGUUUUUCCAUGCUAAAGACCGAUUAGUCGUCUUCUUCUCCUCAGCAUCAUCAAAACCAGGGUUUUUAACUCCUAAAACGUUUCUUUUUAGAAAUAUAUUACUUUAUUCAUCUAAUAUGUUAUCUAACAAAUAGACACAGAUGAAAUCACUCUAAAGUGAAGAUGAAAGGGGAAAAAAAACAUUCCAACCACCAAUAAUUUAGCAAGCUUCACUUUUAUUCCACCAAAGUGUAAAUAGUGCCAGCCCCCACCACCAUCAAUAAUUUAGCAAGCUUCACACGCUUGUUGUCUUCUCCUUGACGAACUGGACGUGGGUGGACCAAGAAUCAAUGAAAGAAUUUUAAAAAUAAUAAUAAAAGAAAAACAUAAACAUUUUGGACUCGGAGUAGAACCGUAAUUAAUGCUAAAAUUUACUCCGCUAACGUUUUCAAAAUAUUGUUCUUUAUAAUUGUACAGCAAAUAAGACUAAGUUUUGGACAUUUUCAUAUUCACUUACUUUCAAAAGCAGUAUUUCGAAACAUUUUACAGAAUCAAGUAACAGUUAUAUAACGAGAAAAGUGCAAAGUUGUGUAAUUCUAAUGUUUUUUUUUUUUUAUCACAGACACUCAGAUAAUUUUUUAUUUGGGUCGCCAACUCGCCAAUUAACCCAUGAUUGAAUGAGUGUUUAGAAAGAAAAUCAAUAAAAAACAGUUUUUUUUUUGGUCGUCGAAAUAUAGUAAGUGAGAAAGAUUAUUCUGUUUUUUUUGUUAAUUAGGUUAGUAAUUAUGAUUGAGUGACUCAGAACUAUAUUCUAGAUUGAGAAUCAACGGUUCUCCCACACUGAGAGGCUGUAAGUUUAAGAUUGUCGUUUGCUAUUUCAUCGACAAGAGAACACUUGAAUUUAUUAAAAGGAGAAGGCCAUAAAGAUUUUCCUUUAUGAGAAAUGUAUCUGAUCAUUCCUUUUUACUUGAAAAUUUCAUAUAUAAAAACUCAUUAAUAAAUGACAGAAUAUACAUAAAUUAUUAAUUCAUUUGAUAGUUGAUUAUCGAAGGACAUGUGACCCAUGGAAGCAUGCAGUCUAUAAAAUAAUUCUUUUUUUUUUUUAACAAAAAAUUGGUGAUGUUGAAAAGCAAAAUUAUUAUUUCUCUAAUUAGGGUGAACAUUCAUAAAAAGAAUGCCGUAUGAAACUAAAUUAUUAAUUCGUUUGACAUGUGACCCACAAUAAAUAGUUAAAUUUGGCGGCAACAAUAAUUACAAGACGAACUUAAAGCAGCGCAUAGGUUUUUCUUAAAAAUACAUAAACAAUUCGAUAUUUUUUAUUUGACAGUUUUUAAGAAAUGUCAAACAUAUAUGACAUUUUGUGAAAAACUGAGUAAUUGUGAAAUAUAAAUGAUAAUUUAUUUAAACGUCAAAUAAUUGUGACGUUUUAUCAAAUAAGUGAUAAAUAUCUUACAUAUUUAUUGAAUAAUUAUCAUUUACCUUUUCCUUUUAUUGACUCGAGCAAAAAAAACAAAAAAACUGACUAUACUGCUUUUAUUUUCGUUCUUAGAACAGAUUUUAGUUUCUUUUGAGAAAAUUCAAACUCAUUCCCAUUACUUUCUUUUCAAUAAUCACCUCUCAGUUUUUCAUCAAUCACUCAAUUCCGAAUUUCAUCUCCAUUCUCUUUUGAAGAAGAACGCACGAAGAAUUUUAGCUUGCUUUUGCUGCUUCUCGAAUAUUGGGUAUUGUUUCCUUUAAUUUAGAUAAUUGUUUUUUAUAUCUCUCUUUCUAGUUUGAUAAUUUAUGGUUAUACUUGAAUUAAUUGUAUUUUUAAUCAACCAAGGUUGAUUUAAUUGAUUCCAAGUCUCAAUUUCCUGUUCAACAAUUUUCAUACUCAAUUUUGAAAGAAUCAAUGUAUUUUAUCUUUGGUUAGUACACUUCUGUUCAAUUUUUGUUUAUUUAACUUAAGAUAUCUUUUUCUUUCUUUUCUUCAAGCAAAUUAUAGAUUAUAUUGAGAACAGAGUUUUCUCCUUAAUUCCGCCAAGAGCAACGUUGAUUUCAGGUGAUAAUUGAAUGUGUAAUAUUUUCAAUUGAAAUUAAUUGAGUCUCGUGAUAAUAAUAGGGAUUUGAGAUUUACAUCCUGUUGAAAUGAUUUUAGAGUGUUCUGUUAUUUGAAUGCGCAUUAAUUGUUUGAUUAAAUGUCUCUUUAAAAGAUUAUUUUUGUUUUUAGCAAACAUCUUAAUGCACUUUACAAAUUGAAUCCAACAAGGGAAAAUUAUAGAACUGCAGCAGUUUUCAAAUUGAUUGCAUAUUAGAAGUAAUGUUAAUUUAUGCUGCAACAGUUCAAUGGGCUGGGCACAAGUUUAGGACUUCAGUUGCUCAAUUAAUGAAUCCACCACUCAUCAGACUUGGAACUUAUAUCUAUUGAAUCAAUAAAAAUAGUUGAUGGAAUCAAUGCCGAAAGCUUCAUUUGAUAUUUAUUUAUAACAUCUGUUAGAUUCUGGACAAUCACAAAGAUAUAGUAGCAGAAACUAUGUUAGAGACACUAUAGUUGCUUAAUUAGUGAAAUUGUGCUCUCAUUGCCCCCUUUUUUUGGUUGAUUCUAUAAUUUUAUUAGUUGUUCUUGUGGUUGUAAACAAUAUCAAUUUCUAAUAUUAAUAAAACUGAAUGAAUAAAAUGCGAUGCAUUUGCAGGAAAGUUAAUAGUUUAAAUAUGGAUAAAUCUUGGAUGUUGAUGGAUAGAAGGUCUAUAGAAUAUGAGAACAUGGUAAAUGAGUUUCUCAAGUUUGCAGUACUUCAUGCUAGUCAUCUUGAGCUUUUGAGAUGUCCAUGCCAAGCAUGUCUUAGUUUAUAGGCUCAAACAAUUAACAGUAUAGAAAAUGCAUGAUAGAACACAGAACUCAUAUUUUAGCAACAAUCCUCAGCUCACUGGCCCUUAGUUCAGAAUGACAAUUCUUAUUAGCCAAAGGUUCAAAAUGAUUUUUAGUUGUUUAUAAGUAGAGAACUAGAUCAACAAAUAAUUGAAGACCUGCAGCUUGGCUAUUGAACUAUACGAUGAUGCCAAUUCGAAGACUACAACUUGGCUCUGCCAUUCGAAGUAAGCAACGCAGCUGCCCAAAGUCUGCCAAACCAAGAAAAAUAAAGACUUCUCCUUAGCAAUUAAGUUAAUAUAAGGAAUGUUGCAUGUCCACAAAACUAGGUAGACGCAACUGGGACUUCAAUAUAUAUAUAGAUAUAUAUAUAUAUAUAUAAGCAUUUCCUAGAUCAAUAUUAUUCUCAGUAACUGAAUAUUGAAGCUGACCAUCACAUUUAAUAAUAAAUCAAUAUCAGGAAUGUUGUUGAGGAGUAUUUUGAUAUUUACAAAAGUGUUCAAAGUAAAAAUUGAUUUCUUAAAACCCAUUAGCUAGCGCACAUAAUAAUGGGGAGAAAAUUUUAGACUACGAAUAGUCCCACCCAUUUAAUAAUAUUCUUCAAUCAAUUAUGUUUACUUCAAAAAAAAAAAACCAUCUCUUUAUUACUUUCUAACUAUUCAUAUUAAUGUGUUCAUAAUUAUGAAGAACCGGUGUAAUUUAUAUGAUGUAGGAAGCACAUUAGUCAAAAUCAUCAGAAUCUCAAAAUUUCGUGAUGUUGUGCCAAAUAUGCAAACCAAAGCUUCCUACAUUCUUUGUACGUUUGUGUUAGUUACAAGCAAUCACAGUGGUAAACGAAAAAAAACGAAUUAAAACACAUGAGGAGAUUUAAAUGAAAAUGUCUUAAUCAUAUAUCGCAUGUAAGACCUUUUGUACUCAAAACUGAUCAGCACCCAUUCUGCCCGCCGUGUGAUCACAUCUUGAAGGGAGUGUUGCUUCAGCAUUUUUAUCAUUUUUACUAUUUCUAGGAUCCAUUUUGUCACCUCCCUCCCUCCCCCCGGUUUCUAAAAUAAUUAUAUAAUAACCAUAUAAUUAUUGGUUGUUCUAGCAAAUAAAAAAAAUAUAUAUAUAUAUAUAUAUAUUAAUCUUUUAAUAACAUUAUCACUUUGUCAAAAUAAAAAAUCUCCUCAUUAAAUAAUUAUAUUAUAUAUAUUCAUUUAUUUAUCCAAAUAAAAAAGUAUGAAGUCAAAUAGUACACAAUAAUUUAACUAAUUUGAAUUGGUUUAUUUUUAAUGAAACAAAUAACAUUCCUAAAUGCUUCUCUUGAUCCUUAAUUUAUUGAUAAUUUUGUCAAUUUAAGGUCGGCUAUAUAUUGAUUAAAUUACAAGCUUAGACUAUCGAAAGCUGGUUACAGUUAUGGAGGCAGGAAAAAUUUUAUUGUACCAGAAAUUUUUUCUACAACAGUCCAUGCAAAGUAAACAUUUGUAAGGAAAUUGGAGAAUAAUUACAAAGCCAACUAAAUUUUAUGAGAAUCAAUUUGGAGUUUUUGUUAAUCGCCAUUUUGCGUUCAUACAAAGCAAGUGUAGAUACCGGCACAAUAAGCUAAAUGCAAAAUCCAAUGUAGGACAGUGGGGUUGGGACAACGAAAUGGGGAAAUGGGAAUCUAGGUAAUUGCACUGAACCUUAAACUGAGAGUACGGGCACUUAAAAUUUUUAAAGUGUCUAAUAAGUUUCAGCUAAAAAGGAAAUAGGCUGUAAAAUUGCUAAAUUCAUUUUGAUUUCUAAAUUCAUAAAUAACCUUAAAAGUUCUCUGAUACAACUUGUCAAUAAUGGUGAAAAUUCAAUUUCAGAAUGACAAUUCUUAUUAGUGAAAGAAUCAAAAUGAUUUUUAGUUGUUUAUAAAUAGAUCACUAGAUCAACAAAUAAUUGAAGACUGGCUUGGCUAUUGAACCAUACGCGGCAAUUCGAAGACUGAAACUUAACUCUGCCGUUCGAAGUAAGCAACUCAGGUGCCCAAAGGCUGUCAAGCCAUCAAGACAAUACGAAGAUACAACAUCAAUAAUAAUUACAUAUUACACCUACCCCAAUAAGAAAUUAGUUAAUACAGUCCUAGAAAGAAAUUUACAAACCCAUGCUGUAGGAAUAAUUAAUUAAUUUAUACAGUUCGGUACUCAUUCCUCUUCUGUUUCAAAUCCAUAUCCACUGCUCUGCCAUUUAUUACUACGCAAGGUAUAUGGGUUAGCAAGUGCCGACAUUGUCCUCCAUUCUUUAUGUGCCUUUCUUCUAUCAAGGGACAACCCAAGAUCUCUAAUCGCAAGAAAAAUAUUUCAAAGUAAAAAGUGAUUUCUUAAAAUCUAUUAGCUAGUGCACAUAAUAAAAGGCCAUUCAUGGUAAAUUUUAGAUUACAAGUAGUCCCAAUAAUAUUCUGCAAUCAAUUCCGUUUAUUUUAAAAUAAAAGAAAUCCAUCUCUUUAUUACUUUCUAAUUAGUCAUAUUAAUGUGUUAAUAAUUGUGAAGAACCAGCGUAAUUUAUAUGAUGUAGGAAACCCGUUAGGCAAAAUAACCUGAAUUUUUUAAAGUAGGGGCUAGACAUAUUGGGCAUAACCUCAGUUUCUGUUACUUCUUUGACCCUGCCUAAGCUCUUUUAUGGGCUAAUAUCAAAAUUUCGUGAUAUUGUGCCUAAAGAGCUUCCAAUUCAAGGAGCUCCCCUGUUUUUGACUGAAACAUAUGUAAUCCGAAAAAUUUAUAAUUAGAUAAAUCAUUCAAAAUCUCCCUGAAUCUAACCCACAUUUCUAUGGUUUAAUAACAUAUCACAAAGGUGCCUAAUAUAAUGAAAUUAGCACUAGUUCACGAGAUUGCCAUUAUAUAUUACAAGUCUUUUUAUGAUGUAGAUUAGAAGGGAAAAUACGAAGGACAUAUUAUAUAUUAUAUAUGAUUGAAUUUAAUCCAUGAUAAUUAGACAAAAUAACACUAAUCUAGCUAACUAAUCCACCCAUCAUAAUAAUUUGAUUUUCAUUAUUUUAUUGUGUCCAAUCAUGCUAAUUUAAUAAAAAAAAUACAGAACACUUGAGGAUUUAGAUAUUCAACAACUUUGGCCAAGUUUGAAAAAGAUUAGAGCUUCCUUCAUGCUUUGUGUUCUUAUGUUACACAUGAUCAUAUUAUGUUACAUUUGACAGAAAACUGAAAAUUAUUGAAAAAAAAAAAUCUUAGUUAGCACAUGAUCAAAAUGAGAGAUUAAUGCACACACAUCACAACAAUGUUUCAUUCAUUUUGAAUCUAUAUUUACAAAACUUGUAUCCGAUGGUUUACAUUUGUUUAAUCUAACUGCUAUGACAUGUGUACUGUCAAAACGCUACAGCUGCCAUCUCUGUUUGUCCUUGUUGCAUCCUUGAUCUUAUAUUAUCCUGGAGAUUAUUGAAUGUUCUUCUCAUUCUCAUGUGCUCGAGGGUCCUUUCUUGAGACAUUUCAGCAAACACCUGAUUCAUCCUAUUAAACAUUAGCAUCAUUAAUCAGUAAAUGAUGUAAGGUAGCCCUGUUUCGUGAAGUCAACAUAAAUCAGUCACCUUAGAUUUUCUGAGUCUCAGAGCACAAUGGGUGAUGAUUUGAUGAGAAAUAUUAAUAUGCCUUCAUCCCCUGAAUUAGCUAGAGCUGGUUGUCAUUUUCUUCUUUCUUUUGGUACGGUUUUAGAUUUUUAAUCAAUCAGAUUCAGCUGCAUGUUUGCUUUUAGUCCAAACCAAAAUAAGAUAUUAAGUACUUUUGCCAGAAUAGACGCAACCAAAAUUCUAUGGGAUCUGUAGUUCCUAGUUCAUGCAGAAGCGACCGAAUGCUUCCUGCAACUCAGGCAGAUAGAACCUUGGUUGAUUCGUUUUUCUUCAUCUGAAAUUCUACCUAAUGCCUAUCCUCUUAAUUGGUUUAAAUUCUUCUUUUUUUUCUUUGAAUUGUUGAUUUAUAAUGUCUUGUAUGCAACAUUUAUAAUUUCGGAUGAUGAUAAUCUUGUUUAAGAAGAGAUUUCUAGUUACGGCAGCAGCGUUCUUGAUCAUGGCAUCACAAGCACGUGCUCUGGUUUGCUUAGUUUCCUUUUUGUCUCUGAUAUUUUCUUGGCAUUGUGGGAUAUUGUUUCUCUUUUGAUUUUCUGUUUUUGUUUGCUUAGUUUCCUUUUUAUGUCUGAUAUUUUCUUGGCAUUCUUGUUCUCUCUUAUAAUAAAGUGCUUUUGAUAAAUUCGCCUGGUCGGUUUACUUCACUAACCAUUAAUGAGCAAAUCCUCCCAGUGACUCUCAAACUCUUCUACACAAUUAUAAUAAUUUCAGUUUUACAUAUACAAAAAUGAACAGCUCUCAAACAUAUCAUUUGAUAAUGACAAAAACAAUAAUUCACUCCAAUAAAUCUCAUAAUAAAUACAUGAUCUACAUUGCAAGUCUUUUUAGGACGCAUUCAAAGAGAAAACAUAAGGAAUGGCAAUGCAAGAAUAUGGAAUCAGAAUAACAGUGAUACAAAGAGAAAAAAAAAGGGGAUGGUCGGGUUGGGUUGCUUGCAAAAUUAUUGGUGCGGGGGUCUACUUGUUUUUGUGUCACUUUAUUAAUUAAUUACCGAAGCAAACACGUCAUCAUUUGAAAAAGAAUCACUAGCACCAGCUUAUGAAAAAUAAAUUUGUAAGACAUAUUAAUUUGAAAAUAUUUUGGAAUUUCAGUCUAAGUUGAUUUGUCUAAUUAUGUAUGCACAAACUAGCUUGACCACUUCUUUCAUAUUGAUACCUAUAAAUUGCAACCUUAUUUUACGUUGAUGCACAAUCUAACUUAACAAAAAAAAUAUUCAAAUUGUCACAAAAUAUUUUCUUCUUAAUAUAUAUAUAUAUAUAUAUACAUACACACAGUAGUUAAUUUUCCUUAUUCUUCACUCCAGGAUCCAGCUGCAUACCCCUCUUUUUUGUCGUUAUGUUGCUCAACCGUUAGAUUUUAAUAACGUUAAUCUAACGGUUGAGAUUUGUAAAUGAAUAAUGAAGUGGUGUUUGGCUACUAUCUGAAAAUAUCGGCAGCCAUCGACGGCGAAUCUGAACAAAGGCAACAGGAGGUGAUCGUGGUGAAAUUGUUUUUUGGCAUGCGAAUCUAACGACUUUCAAAUACGUUCAUUCAAAUAUUAAAUGCAAUUCAGGCAAAUAGAAACUUGGUUGAUUGAUUGCUUUUCAUGUGAAAUUCUACCUAAGGGCUAUCCUUUUAAUGGUUUGUACUGUCUUAUAUGCAAAUUAAAUUCGGAAUUCGGGUGAUAAUAAUCUUGAUUUAGAACAGAUUAGGUAACAUGUGGCAUUCUACAUUCUUGCAAUGCCAUUUCUUUUUAUGGCAGCACCAUUUUUUAUCAUUGUUUGUGUGGACCUAUUUGCUGAAUUCAAAACUUGGCGUGUUAAAACGGCAUCGUUUUGUCCAUUAAGAUGUUUCAAGUUGUCCCCGGCUGGACAUAUGACUCACUUAAUGAUACCAAAACGGCGAGGCAUGAAGGUGUUUCGGCUAAGGGCUUAAGUUCUGCAUGUGACAAGCACGUGAGAGAAGAAUCAAGUUAGUUAUAAGUUGUUAUACACGUGGCUGGAUCUGGUGCAAUCUGGGGUAAUGAACAGCCGUUAUAUAAGCUGAGCUUUCAGGCAGUUUCAGCAAGAUGUAAAGAGCUUCUAGAGAGAAUGAAGAGAGAGAAAAUGUAUCAUCUUAUUCCUUGUUAGUUUCUCCGUGUGAGCUCUGUAAAAUACUUUGAUUCAUAAAUAAAACUCAUUUUAGUCGAUUCUCCCUUGGAUGUAUGUUCUGCCUCAUUGCACAGCCGAACCACGUAAACAGUGCUGGUUUCUUUUUUUUUCAUUUGUGUCUAUCACUAAAAAGCAGAGCACUUGCUUGAUUGAAUAAUGUCAUAUUACAUCACAUAAACUCUCUCAAUUAUUGAAAAAGAAAAUCGUAAAAGAGAUGUGUUGAAUUGAUAACUGAAAAAAUCUUAAAAAAUCUUCAAAGUUUUCAAUUAUUGAUAACUGAAAAUUAUUGAAAAAAAAAAUCUUAAAAGAGAUGUGUUGAAUUGUGAAAUUAAAACUGAGUUUCAGACAUUUCUGACAUGUCGGUUUAUAUUCUUGAUUGUGCAUGCCCUGUCGGUUGCUUGAUGAAACAGGAGAAUAUUGACAUCUGUGUAUUAUCGUUUACUUCCUGCAAUUAAAUCACAUGUUGUUCACGUGAUUCCAUUUGCUCUAUGCGGCACAUUUGGCAGUCGUUUAGGUCACUUACUGAAGCACGGGUUAAGUACUUGAUUCAAGGUUGUUAACUGACCUUUACAAGGCGGGAAAAACAAACCCGGAAUGCAGCUAGUGAGUGGGGGACUUUUCUAGACUCUUCAUGAUAUGUAUAUAUAGUCUUAGAGGCUAUAGUUGAGACAUAUGAAAAGCUUGUAACUUCUUCUUAAUGUUUGUAGUUUGAUCUCGGUGAUGGAGAUAAGAUUGCUGCCCUGUUCUCCAGGCCGAACCACUUAAAAUGUGCCUCUGUUUUGCUUGAUGACUACCAGUGGUGAGAAAACAGCUACAGAACAAAUCAAGCUUGAUGACUCAAAUAUUAGGGAAGCCAUAGUCAAGGCAUCUGGUUUAUGCAUCAACAGUGGUUCGUGGACUAGAAUUCUUAGCUAUUGCCGCUUCACAAUUGCACUGGAAGAAAGCGAAUUUGAUCGAGCUUUGGAUCGCAUAGCUAAAUUCAAAAGCAUCGUACAAAUAGUUAACUCAAAAACGGUAUUGUCAUUUGUCAUGAUUUAUUUCUAUUGCCUGAUGAUGAUACCCAUCACGCCUUAGUUGUCGUGAAUAAAUCUAAAAUCAAAUUGAACUGGCUUUUACUGGUUAGCAACAUUUGUGACGUUUUGAGAUUAUAAUAUAUGACAACACUGAUUAGUGUUGUCUCCCAUGUGAAUUGAGACAAAAAUUAUUUUCCCAAUUGCGCUUUCAUUUGAACAAUUCCACUGUAGAUUUAUAAAAUAAUGAUCAAAUUGUGUUUUAUAUUAAGUUACGAGUAAUUGGUUAAAUAUUAAUACAAAACUAUUUUAAGUAACAUGUGGCAUAUUCUAAUUCUAGCCAAGCUUCCAACUAAGAUUCCCAAAUCAAAAGAAUUUCAAUCUUCAGAACAUUCUGCAAAACGUUUAGUUUCUACGCAGUGCUAGAAUUUUCCCUAAGUUUCUAUCGCAAAGACUUCUAAAGAACUAUUCAGAUAUCGAGCUAUAAUCCAGUCUAAAGUGUAUAUAUCCCUCUAAUUCACCUCCCUCCAUUUCACCAGAAAAUCAACAAACACUUAGCUUCAAACAAACACUCUAAAAAAGCUAGCUAGCUAUUCAGAUGGCAAAACCAAGAAUUCUUGCAAUGACAAUGUUGUUUCUUGUUAUGGCAGCAACAUUGAUGAACAUGGCAUCGCAAGCAAACGCUCUGAUGUCGUACACACAAUCACCUUUCAGGGUUCUUGAACAAACCCCUUUAACAAUCGCAAAACGAGCUGAUCAUCAUCAAACUCUAGCCCCGGCGAGAACAGACUAGAUGGAGACACCAACAGCCCACGUGAUCACGCUCGACAUUCCAGGGAUGAAGAAAGAUAAUGUAAAGAUUGAAGUUGAAGAGAACAGAGUACUGAGAGUGAGUGGGGAGAGGAAGAGUAAUGAUUAUUACAAGGAGGGAGUUGAAGGAGAGAAAUGGCACAGAGCUGAGAGGACAUUUGGCAAGUUUUGGAGGCAGUUUAGGAUGCAUAUGAGUGCUGACUUGGAUCAUAUUAAGGCUCACAUGGAAAAUGGGAUUCUGAGGGUCACAGUGCCAACGCUUGCUGAGGAGAAGAAGAGGCAGCCUAAGGUUAUUAACAUUGAUGAAGAGUCUGGUAAUUCUUCCAAUGAAGAUAUUAAGGCUACCAAGGCUCAAAUGUAAUUGAUUAAAGAAAGAAGUGAUUGCUUUGCUUGAUGUGCUAUUUGUUUAUGAUCUUUUCUUGGUUUUGUUGUGAGAUGUUUCUAUUUGGAUGCUCUAUUUAAUGUAUUUUGAUGGGUUUUUGAGGAAGGCUUGUAUGUAUUGACAACAAUAAAGUGCUUUUUAUAAAUCCUAGUCCUCCAACACUAAAAGAAAUUAAUACGCUUGGUUUAUAGUUAAUAAAAAUAUAUAUAUUUUUAAAAAAAGUCUUUUUCUUUGGCAUAUAGUAUGCGUUUUGAGGGAAAAAAAAUUAUCCCACUCCUAAUUCGUCCUCUUCUGCGAUAUUAAUGUGUUAACACGAAGAUUCAUUGUAAUUGCAACAAUUUUGACGAAUCCAAACGUUCAAUAACUGUUAAAUUGUAUUUAUAAAUACUAAUAGCGAAGGUACAGAAACGAUUAAUUCACGAAGUUGCUUAAAGUGCAUUAAAUUAGAGAGUAUAAAUAAUUGUGUGAUACAGUCCAGCCUUCAUCUGCUUAUAAUUAGCAACCAAAAACCACUUUGCAACACCAUUAAAAAAACAUUUUAACAUUAUUGCUGAGGGAAGAGGCAGCUUAGGCUUAUUAACUCGUAUUAUUAAUGCUGAUGACGCAGCUGGUAAUCCUUUUGGUGAAUAUAUUAAGGCAGCUGAAGCUUAAAAUUAAUUAAGCCCACUAAAGCUUAAAACUAAUUCUUCUGGUGACGAUACUUUGCUUAGUUCGCUUUUUGUUUUUAAUUUUUUUGGGGCUAACGUUUUGCUUAUUUUGCUUUUAAAAUUCUAUUCGCGUUGCUGUGGAAUAUUGUUUCUCCUUCGAUUUUCUGUUUUUGUUGUUAUCGGAUUUGAUGAUGGUUUAUAUGUACGAAGAUUAUGUAAUAAAGUGCUUUUGUAAAAAUACUAAGGUAAUAUACAUUACACAUUUGUACUCAAUAAGAAAUCAAUUCAUUAAUAUAAGCAUUAAUACCCCUGGUUUAUUGUUAAUGAAAAUUAAAAAAGAAAAAAAAAAGUCUUUUUCUUUGGCCUUUAUUAUGGAUUUUAAGAGGAAAAAAAUUUAUCCCACUCCAAUUCAUGAAGAUAUUCUCUUUUCUGUCAUAAAGAUCCAUUGCAGUUGGUGAAUUCAAAUAUUCAGUAACUGAUGAAAUUGUAUUUAUAAAUUCAUACUAAUAGCAAUUGAAGAUUAUAAUUAAUUUUGUAAUAUGAUCUAGCCCUCGUGUGUUUAAUUAGCACUCAAAAACCACUUUACAUAAAUGAGGUUUCAACAGCUGAGAAAGAGAUAGCCAUUAUACAUUACACAUUUGCACUUAAUAAGAAAUCAAUUCAUUAAUAUAGCCAUUAAUACGCCUGGUUUAUUGUUAAUGAAAAUUAAAAGAGAAAAAAAAAGGUCUUUUUCUUUGGCCUUUAUUAUGCAUUUUAAGAGGAAAAAAAUUUAUCCCACUCCAAUUCAUGAAGAUAUUCUCGUUUCUGUCAUAUUGAUGUGUUAAUAUGAAGAUCCAUUGCAGUUGGUGAAUUCAAAUAUUCAGUAACUGAUGAAAUGGUAUUUAUUUAUAAAUUCAUACUAAUAGCGAUUGAAGAUUAUAAUUAAUUUUGUAAUAUGGUCAAGCCCUCGUGUGUUUAAUUAGCACUCAAAAACCGCAUUACAAUAGGCAUUAAAAGAACAUUAUAACGUCAUUGCUGAUGAGUUCUGGUGAAGAUAUUAAGUUAAGGCCACAAAAAUCGAAAUGUACGUAGCUUCGUUUGUUUUUUGUUUUUGAUUUUUUUUGGGGGGCAAAUGCUUGGCUUCGUUUGCUUUUUCGUUUUUGAUAUUUUAUUGGCUUUAUUGUGUGGCAUGUUCUUGUUUUCUUUUGAUUUUCUGUUUUGGUUGUUAUGGGAUUUGAUGACGAUGUACAUGUACAAAGAUUAUGUAAUAAAAUGCUUUUGAUAAAUUGUGGAACAAAAGAAGAACACUAACGAACUAAUUAAUUACUAAUAAGAACAUUAACAAUUUUUGCCGAAGUCUGAUGAAGAGAAAUAUUACACAUAAGUAACGGUACCGCGGAAGGAAAAAAUAAAAGAAACUAAAGUUUAUUUCAACAGCUAAGAAUGAAAUAGGCAUAAGAAAUUAACCCAUCAAUUAAUUAAUUAAUACAGUCCCCUGCUACUAAAUAAUGCGAGCCCCUUACUGUACUUAACAUUUUUCUUUUUAAUAAUUUAAAACAGUUUUCAACUGAGAUUUGAAUUUUAAAACUACAUACACAAAUACACCUGAUUUUAAAGAAAAAAAAUUUCUAAUAAUAAAAUAUUUUACAUAUAUAACCAUAUGGCGAAAAAAUAAAUAUAAGAAACUGAAGUUUCAACAACUGAGAAUGAGAUAGGCAUAAGAAAUUAAUUCAUUAAUUAAUUAAUAGAGUCCUCCUUUGCUAAGCUAAAUAAUGCGAGCCCAUUGUUCUUUUUAUUUCGAAAACCCAUUAAUCACCAACACAUAAUACACGCCCAACUUUUUUUUUAAAAAAAACCUAAUAAUAAAAUAUUUCAGUCGUCCUCUGUUGAGUCGUCCUCUGUUGAGUCGUCAUAAAAAACCCAUUUACCAGCUAUGACAGCAAGAGGAAUAUGGGUUAACAAGUCCCAAUAUUGUCCUCCAUCCUUUCUGCACUUCUUUUCUAUCAACGGACAAUCCACGAUUCUUAAUUGCAAAAGUGAGGAAGGCAGGCCCUUCUCCGGAAAGUAUUUGAGCUUGGGACAAUGAUAGAGACCCAAGUGAGUGAGGUUUUGAAGAUCAACAAUUGAAGAAGAUAGGCGUUCCAGAUUUGGAAAAUUGUAAAUCCACAGAGAUGUUAGAGAGGCAGGAAGAGGAAGCGCGGUCCCUAAUCUUUUGUCCUCUAGUGGAAAUGACACCAUGUCGUCAUCGCAUCCUAUGAUUUCAAGAUGUCGCAGACAGGAGAAUCUGUGAAAUCCCCGGCCCCGCUCAAUCAUUGACUUCCAAAUCUCCAUAUUACCCUCAAUCCAAAGUGAAUGAAGGUUGAUGGGAAGGCCAUCUUCUUCUUCAAGGCUUGGAAGCUCACCUCCUUUUCCUAUUGUUAAUUGUUGAAGAGAGGUCAGAUUGUGCAAUCCCUUGGGUAAGGCCUCUAGUCUCUUACAAUCAAGUAUCGUCAGCCUCGUGAGUUUCGCACAAGGGAAUGCCCCUUGGGGAAAGGACACUAGAUUUCCACAAUACGCUAUGCUAAUCUCUUGAAGCUGGCGGAGAUUAUGUAAACCACUCGGUAAAAUUUUCAGAUUUCCACAAUUAGAAAUGUCGAUUGUUUCAAGAGAUGUGUUGUUGUCCAACCUUUCUGCUAUUGACUCCAGCUUUGAACAUCCGCGAACAGAAAGGGACUUAAGAGACGGAGGUAGAUUGCCAACUUCAAGGGACUCAAGCGUGGCAGGUAACUCAUUUUUUGAAAAUAUACAUGUCAGUGAUGGACAGCUGUUAAUACGCAACUGCUCAAGAAGAGAUGAGGUGUACCUUCUAUUGCUGCUGCUGCUGCUACACUGGAUGCCCUCUUCCACUGUCAAAGUCCUUAUAUUACUGCAAUUGUUAAUCACCAACUGCUUAAGGCUCGGUGGUAGCUGGACUCCAGCAAUAUAUGUCAACGAAUGGCAAAAGCAAAUCUCCAAGAUCUCGAGAGAUGAAUUGGUGUCGCACAUCCAUGCCUCUGGUAAUGAUUUCAGUGCAUCACAUUCCCUAAUCUCAAUUGUCUUCAACUUGGAAGGCAGAGCAACCUCAGGAAAGGAAACAAGGGAACUGCACUUGUAGAUUUCUAUCUCUCUCAAGGAACUGAGACUGAGAGAUGAUUGUGGCAGCUUCACAAGGCCUUCGCAAUAUCUCAAUCUUAGAUAUUCGAGUCUGCAUGACAACUCGCAGAGCUGCUGUUGUUGGCCUUUCUCUUCCUCCGCCACCAAGGAUUGAAGUUUGGGACACCGUCUAAUCGUCAGUCUUCUGAGAGAGCAAAUGUCUUGCAGUAAUUCGUUAUGACUCUUCCAUAUAUAUGUCUGCUCUUUCAUUUCAUUUAUCUUCAAUUCUUCCAAUUUUGGUAGUCGCGGCUUUAAUGGCCCUGCGAGAAACACUUGAUUUGAUCUAUCUCUACAAACCACUGAAUUCUGUGAGCCGAGAUGAUCAGUUGCACUUCUCCACACAACCUUUUUACAUCCACCACUCUGUAAUUUGCAAAGAGCUGGAAGACUCGAAACUGAAACUGACAAUUCUUCACAUCCUUUAAUAACAAGCUUCUCCAAUGCAGGAAGGCGUUCUGGAAAUGUUCCUUGCAGCUUAGAACAUCUUAAAAUGUGAAGCUCUCUCAAUUUAGGAAACCGUUCAACUCCCUGACUGGAUCCAUGAGGAAUCCAGUCUUCCCAUCCUUGCAUGUCUUCAAAAUGAAGAGUCUCCAAGCAUGGAAAAGGAAUUGGAGUAUCAUUCCCAUAGAACUCUGAACCCAACCUCUUUACACUAGUCAUUCCACAUACUGCAAGAUGCUUUAGAGAGGGUAGUUGCCCGACUGACGGCAGGGUAGGACACAUGCCACAAUAUUCAAAUUUUAAGGUCACCAACUUUGAGAAUGAGGAAUCUCCGAACCAAGUUGGAAAUUUUGCACCUCUAUAGCCGCUGAUACAAAAUUGUUCCAAAUUUUUAUUGGGUUCUAGCAUGUCAAGCACGUCCUUUUCAAUUUCCGCCUCCCUUGAAGACGAGCCAUCGGUACUGAGUGUCCAUCGAAGCAAUAAUUCUCUAAGAUUCUUCUUUCCAUCCAAUUGAGCCUCCUUUGCAUCACCAACGUCUUUUACAUUCUCCAAUUUUGAAAUGUUAAGUGUCCCAUGAAGGUGCGUCAACAACUUUAGCUCUCGUAACCCGGAACCACUGCCUUUUCCCACAACAAAAUUACACAACGUCUGAAGACUAGUCAACCUACCAAUUCCUACUGGCAUUUCCUCCAACGACUUCGUAUUUGAAUUCUUAAGAUGAUGCAAUUUGGCGAGGUUUCCCAUGUCUGCACACAACUUCUUCAGCCGAUCACAAUCUUCCAACAAAAGACUAUGCAAAUUGUAAAGCUUGUUGACUGAUUCAGGCAGAGUUCUAAUCUCAGUUGUAGACAGGUUAAGGUACCUUAAAUACCUCAAAUCACCAAUUGAAUCCGGCAGCUCAGGGAUGCAGUAUCCACGCAAAGAGAAGACCCUCAAGCGUCGGAGUUUGAGCAACUUAGGAAGAAUGCUAGGAGCCAAGAAGCCAGGCGAACUUUUUGUCAACAUUACUGGUAAAAAAGUUCUCAAAUGCUGGAUAUCAUACAAGUCCCCAAACCUUUUACCGCCAUCAAAAUAUUCAGGAAUGUAUGAUAGAUGACGAAGAUUUUCGGAAAAACUUUGCUGCUUGUAAAUUUCUGAGGUAUACUCCAUUGUGAAGUAUAUCUCCCCCGCAGCCCAACGGGCAAGGUCAUUGAUAAGAUCGUGCAUCACAAAUCGUGAUGUAUUGUUGCUUAAUUGCUGGAAAAAAGAUCUUGAACGUAG